CCAUUCUUAAUUUUUCUUCCGUUGGUUUUCAAUCCACAAAAUGAUACUCUUGGCAAACGUGCCAGAUAUUAAUCUUACUGUAGUCUUCUCACCAAGUGCUUCAGCUAGAACAAAUUUUACGAUCACCCUGAUCGUACAAUCAUGUUCAUUAAGCAAUACAAUUCACUUUCGCUGCCUCAUAUCAAAAUCCUUCCAAGUAAUGGAUAUUGAAGACUUUUUGGAUUCGUAAAAAAAAAUCUUGCAUUCCCACUAAAAUAUAAUGUCUCCAUAACUUCACAGCAAGAAUGGUAAUCGUGACUUCCAAAUCACCAGUAGGGUAAUUCAUCUUAUGAGAUUCCAUUUAUCGUGAAACGUAUGCAAUCACCCUAACAUUUGCAUCAACAUGCCUCCAAUACCAUUCAAGAAACAUCACUAAAAAUUUAUGAUUACCACUAUUCUCUGGGAAUACCAAAAUACGUGCAUGAGUGAGGAAAUACUUCAGUUAUUGAAUCCUUUGCUCACAAUUUCCUUCCCACUCAUACAUAAUCUCUUUUCUCAACAGUCUCAUCAAUGACAAAUCAAUGACUAAAAAAAUCUUUCACAACCAUCCAAGAUAGCCUGGUAAGCUAAGAAAUUCCAAAUCUCAAUUACGACUCGUGGUUGUUCCAAAUUCUCAAUUUCUGCUAUCUUUUAAGGAUUCACUUGAAUACCUUAAGAGUAUAUAACAAAUCUCAGAAUACCACCUGAUUCAUCCAACAUUCGCAUUUGCUAAACUUUGCAUACAAUCGACAUUCUUCCAAUCUUUGCUUCACCAACUUAAUAUGUUUACAUGCUCUGCUCUGGCUCAGAAUGUACCAGAAUAUCGUCAAUGACAAAUGAUAACAAUUAUCACGACAUUCGUGGAAUACUUCAUCCAUAAACUCCUAAAACAACGUGAGUUUUCUUAUAGCAUCACCAAAGCUCAUAAAAGAUCAUAACAAAUCCAGAAAACCAUCUUAUGAUCAAUGUCGCUCAAAAUCUCAAUUGGUAAUAACCAGACCUCAAUCAAUCUUUGAAAUUACACAAACAUCUCUGAGCUUAUCAACUAAACAUCAGUACACUAUCAUGGAUAACGGUUCUCGAUCGUUACCAAUUCCAUUGUCUAUAAUCAAUGAACAAUCUCUAAGUCCAUUUUCUUUCGCACCAACGAACUGGUGCUCCUCAAAAGUGUUGUACUAGGUUGAAUGAAAUUUUUUAUCAACCAAUUCUUUCAACUGAAUUUCCAAUUCACUUAACUCAUCAUGAACCAAUCUCUAUCAUAAGAUUUAUACCUGGCAACAAUUCAAUAGUGAACCUCAUAUCUCUGCCUGAAGGCAAUCCAGGUAUACUUUCAAGAAAGACAUCAAAAAAAGUCUAACCCCUUUUUCAUUUUUCACACUUCUCCGAGCAACAUCCUUUAGUACCACAUGAGCUAAGUAUUUUUGACAGCCUUUCGAAAACAAUCUAUUUGCUCUCACAGCAUUAAUAACGGCCUGACUCAAUCCAUUUUGCAUACUUACAAAAGUAAUCUCUGGUCAUCCAGAUCGAUGGAAAGUACUGGUUUCCCGUAACAUUCCGUCUUAUCACAAUUAUAACCAACCAAUCUAAUGGAACAGAAUUAACUGAUACAAUAUAUAUUUUAUUAUACUAACAUAAAAUAAUCUACCGGUUUGCUUGCUUAACGAAUCCAUGAAUGAGUUAUUAAUAUUACGGUCUGCAGCCCGCAAUACUGAUAAAUCAUCGUUGUCUCGAUAAGUAGGCAACCACUCUCAAAGAUAUAACAUUACUAUUUUGUCACUCAAUGCAAAAUACAUACACUCGUCUCAACUACAUUUAUUUACUACUCUCUAGGUAAUAACAUACAUAAUAAGAAAUAUAUCAGCCGAAGUCAACUAGAAUGACCAAUACGGCUGAUUCAACUCUUAUCUCAAUAAUACGUCGGCCGGAUCCACUCCGCGUGGUCGGUACGGCCGAGCCUAUAACUCACCAAUUUCUCAUGUGUCAAUCGAAUCCACUUCUCAUGGUCUGUACGGCUGAACAUAUAACUCAUCAAAUCUCUCUGUACUCACGGUCAAUCCGACCAAACUACUAAGUCCAUAACUCUGCUGAAUCGACACUAUGAUAUCAUGGAAAACUGUUGGGUACAACUGAUUCUAGGGACGAUUCACAAUUCUGUGUCCCCUCUGUUCACAUAAACACAUUCAUUAAUUUCACACUUCCCAAAGUGUUAAUUUUGUACCUGCUGCACAAAGUAUAUUUCCUUUACUCGAGACACCUUGUCUCAAAUAUCUGGGAUUACCAGUAUAUCCAUCACUUUUAUUCUGACCAGCGACAUUAAAACCUCUGCUGGAAGAAUUAACUCUAGCUUCACUUCUUUUGAAGCUCUGAAUCUUUCUAUAUCCUUGAUAUGACGAAUCAUUAACUUUAUCGUCUUCUUUUAAUUCCCAAUCUUUUCUUAUUCUUCUUUACUCUAGCUGAUCAUAUUCUCAGAGUCCUCAAGGCUCAACAACAUCUUGUAUACUCUUGGUAAGAAAUACAAUGGAUAGUGGUCACCCAAAUUACCACUUCCCUUUUUGCCACCCAGCUUAAAACAACAUAACACCUCCACCAAAUUAACAACAAUAUCUGGAUGGAACGAGGCAAGUCUAAAAACUUUCUAUAAUAUCCCUCGAUCAUCACCUUCCUUGUCUCAUAUUUGUAAACUCUUGUUUACUACCAUCAAUAAAUGCCGGAGGGAUAAACUUUUCCUUAAAAAAUUUUAAAUCGGCUAAUUCCUCUGGUGACAACAAUUAACAUUCCUGUUUCCACCAGGAUGCAAAUUCAUACCCAAAACCAGGUAGUCGUCUCGACCCCCUGUCAGAAGGAAGAUUCCUUUGACUUGCAUAAUCUAAAACAUCUUUUCCAAAUGGUUAAACCGUUACUUCGCUCCCUCAGGUUCAUCAUUUCUCUUAGGUGAUUCAAGUUCAACUCAUUACCCAUCUUAAAAUGUCCAUUUUGAUAAUAUACUGAAUCACCAUAAUAAUAGUUUCCCCCUAAACCGCUAAAUCAGGGAGACUAAGUUCCUCUAACUACGUGGUUUGCUACGAGGCGGUGUAGUUCUGACAGAAUUCACUAGAACUUCUCAAAAUGUCCAAGAUUGCAACCAUGCUUUGAUACCAACUGACAGACCCCAUCCCGAAAGAGGGCAUGCUGGCCGUCACGUGAGAGUGACGUAACCAUUUGCACAGUACGGAAGCUUUAAGAUACAAUUUAUAAGUUGAUACAACCCGAAGGUGAGUCCUAAUUUUGUCCAAUUUUGUCCAGAACACCGUCGAAUUCCUCGUAGUCACCACACCUUUUGAUUCUUGAACCUGAGGGGCGCAAAACCCAAAAUUGGAAUCUAAAAAAAUUGACUGUAUGUAAAAAAAUUCAUUAUUCUCAAAACAUUUCUACAAAAUCAAUAUGCCCUGCCCUAAUUCAACAGUUAAAUUUUGGAUGCAUCAACAAUAAUAUAAAUCAAUUCUCAAAACUUUCAAUGCACAUUUUUCUUUAUCAAAGGUCAAUGCCAAAAUUCCAACAAUUAAUAUGUCAUGCAAAUCAAAAUCACAUUAUCAGGUAUCAGUCAACAAGUAAGUAGCAUCAACCGGAGGCCCUCUAAUAGCCCUGUUGAACCUAGAGCUCAAAAGCUCAAAUCUUAUCAAUCUCACACUCUGCCGGAGUCACUCCACGUACCUGUACGGCCUCUACUGCACAUAAGUUACGCUCUAGUGCUUCUCAUAAAUCAUCUGUGCACAUAAUCUAAGGUCACCCACCAGUCGGAAUCUCACUAACACUCUCGCGACUGGCCUGUCGUACCCACUCCACGUGGACUGUACGACUAGCAUCUACUUGGAUCCAAGACGAGCGUGCGAUGCGGUGAAUACUAUAAGCACUAAACUAUGGUGCAGGAUUUGAGCUCAAUAUACAUCAACAUCAUCAUAACAGAAAUAAAUACUCACAUGUGCGUCCACCGCACCAUUUCAUACAUAUGCAUCAUAAAUCAAUUCUUACCUGUGCGUCCACCGCACCAAUUCAUACAUAUGCAUCAUAAAUCAAUUCUUACCUGUGCGUCCACCGCACCAAUUCAUACAUAUGCAUCAUAUAUUAAUUCAUGCAUGGCAAUUCGAUUCACAUUUCUAUAUACUUUUCAUAUACUUUUAUGCAUGGCAUUUCAACUAAUAUAUCUCAUAUACUUUUAUACAUUUUCAUUAAAAGCAUAAUUUCAUGCAUUUUCAAUUUCUGGGAAACGGCAAGUAUAUAUGUAUACGGAAAACAAAACUGCCCACUCACCUGGAGUUCGCCCUACAACUCCCUAGCACAAUACGCCAAGGCGUCAUGACGAUCGGCGCCUAAAACAAUAAUUAAUUCCAACCUCAGAAUUCAUAGUGAUAGAAUAUAUAACUUAUAUAAAAAAAUACGUCACUACGUAGUUCGAUCCGGAAGAUCUGCCACUCAGAUUUUAAAUCCAUAACUUCCAGAGGUCCACAAUAUACCUCUAGGACAACUUCCUAAAAUUUCAUUACCAUCCAACGGUCGGAUCUCCGUCAAUUUCCAAAACUAAGUGACGGUUAACAUUUUUUAUUUUAUGAACUUACAAUUCCAAUUCCGGAAGAUCCGUAACUCGGAUUCCCAAUCCGUAAGUUCCAAUAAUCCUCAAAUAUUACGUAUUACAACGUAUCAAAGUUUGGUAACGAUCCAACGGUCGGAUCGUCAAUUCACAUUUUCACCAAAACUAUAAAACGUUAUUUGAACACCUAACCAACAAUCCUUAAUAACUUUCUCAUACGGUGCUCAAAUUGGGUAUAUGAAUAUACCACGGUGAUCUACUCGACGUCACGGACGUCGACAUAUUUUUAAAAUAAUUUUAUUUAUUUUUUUUUUUUAACUGUAGCACCUUCUUCUUCCUUGGGUCGCCUGACUGGUUUUUCCGGCGGCCGUUUUCCGGGCAGUUUUUCAAAUUGUCAUAACUUUGUCAUUUCUCAACGAAAUCAAGUGAUUCAAAAACGAAAGUUGUAGCCCUUGAAGAGAAAAAGAGAAUGGUACCUUGCACAACACCUAGUUCGCUGUGGUUUGGCCGGAAACUGCCUCGAAAGCCUCGGAGGUCGCCGGAAACUGGGUAUUUUUCAAAUGAGUAUAACUUCUUCAAUACUCAACGAAAUUGAGUGAAACAAAAAGGAAAGUUGUAGUACUUGACUAGACGAAGAGAUUGAUACCUACCUCGACUCCUAACUCGCCGGGGAUUCGCCGGAAAACGCCUCGAAAGCUCCGGCCAAACUUUGAACUUGUCGAUCUCCGUGUUCUUACGUCCAAAAACUUCCAACGAAGCACUCCGAGCUUCCUUGGAACCUCACUAAGCUCACUGUGAGCUUGGAUUGUCCUAAAACAAAGUCAAUUCGAAGAUCAUGAACAGUGCACUUUCACGGGGAGUUUAGAAUCUAGGUUUUCCGAAGUAAAACUUACCUGAAAUUGGUGUCUACGUGAUCGUGGAAGUUCCAGGAGUCCAAAUGUGGUCUUAUCUUGGACGUUUGUUUAUGUUUUAGGUGGUUUUGGGUGAGGUUGAGCGUCGGAGAGGAAGAGAGAGAACUGAGAGUGAGAGAGAGUCGUGAGGGAAGAGAGAUAGAGAGACAAGGUACGGGAAUUGGGGAAGGUUUUGAGGGAUGUGGGGAUCCCACGUGUCCAACUCAAUCCAAAUUGUUAAAUUUUUGCCCCUUAGUCCCGUUUAAGGGCAUUUUCGUCUUUUCAUGUCCUCGGAAUUAAAAUUCCGGGACGGGCUGUGACAGUUAUGCUUAGUAUAUUAAUAUCACUCAAAUUAUUUUUGCAAAUAAAAUACAACUUUUUUAAUGUGUGUGAUAUAUUCUAUUUUUUUACGUGGAACUAAUGCAAUAUGACACAUCCCGACCUGAAUAUCCGUUAGGACUCCGAAUCGAGCUGUGUUGACCGACAGUCAAAUUAGCAGGAAUGCGUUGAAUUCUAAUAUUGUGGACACCAAUAUUCAGAAUGUGCAUCAAUAAGAUGAACAAACUGUAAAAAAAAAAUAGGGUUGUUUUAUUGGCACCCUAUAUAUUGAUGAAUACACCUCACUUACAAUCUAAAUAUCAAAUGCCUUGUAUGCUCGAAUAUGAAAUCACUUACGUGCCGUAAUUCUUAUUUCUCUCACCACUUUGGUUUUUGGUUUAUUCUAAUCACCCAGUUCUGAAAAUGUGCCAACAAUUUCAUCCAGGUUUUGUUCAAGUUGAUUAAAAAAAACCUAUUUAAUUUUUGGGAAAUUUUGGUGUUUUAAUAUGUGGGGUGCUGUCAAAAAUGGUGACAGAAAAUUUGGGGUUGUUGCAAGCACUAUGUAUUGGACCAUGUUAAUGGAGCAUACAUGCAUACAAAAAAGACAAGCCUCAAUUUUUCUUCCCAAAAGUUGCUUCUCUCAGAGAAAGGGUUUUUAGGAGGCCUUGAGAAGAGCAUCUUCUUAGUGCAUUGCCUCCUGAGAUUCACAAUUUAAGAGUUGCAUUUCUCGUUUCGAAAUUGGUUUCUCCUCGGAUAUGCCCUAGUAUGAUAGCAAGUGGUGUAUGAGGGUAAUUUGGGUAAGUAAAUGAGGUGUAUUAAGAUAAUGUUUAGUUUAAAAAGUAAGUGUGGGGUUUUUUCAGUAUGUGGUGUAAACAGCAAUUUGUGGAGUGCUAAUAAAAACAACCAAAAAAUAUUAAGAAAAUUCUUUGGUGCUACGUAGAAUAAAAUGUUAUGAGCAUAGGAUUACCUAAAUUGAUUUGUAAUGGUAUUUUAAUUGUGGCUCCAUAUAUUCAAACCAUCUAAUACUUGUUACAUUUAAUAUAAUGUAACAUGUAAAGAGAAUUCAAAACAUUAGUGCCGUUUUGUUCACAAAAAAAAAAAAAAAAGUGCAGUAAUUGUAACCAUCAGCUCAAAAUGGUAAGAGAAAUGUUAAGGAGACUCUCAAAGCAUGACUCUCCAUAAUCUCUCCGAUACUUCAUGUUUUUAGUAUAAUAAUUUAUACUAUUUCACUUUUAAGAAUCUUCCUAUCAUUUCUCAAAAGGUAAAUUCUACAAUCGGCGGUGGACGUACUUUCAUGGUUUUUGAAGAAAAGGCAUCAACUAAUUAUUAGCUUUAAUCCGGUUUUUCCUAAUUCCCAAAAAUAACAAAAUUAAAUCAUAAUCUUCUACGAUUUAGUGGUAUUUUUUUUAACUUAAAAGUAAGAGGUCUUAGAUUCGAUUUUCACCAAAAAUGAAUUUGAACUAUAUUAUUGAUAGUUUAUUAUGAGGUUAAGACGCUGAACACAUCAUUUUUCGUUAAUAUAAAUAAUAUCGUUUGUUAAAAAAAAAAAAUCAUAAUCUCUUCAGCCUAGCGUUGUCGGUUUCUGGUUACUGGCGCGUAAUUGUUCAAAUCACAAAGACGACCACAAGUACAAGAAUAGAAAGAAAAGACACGUCACGCGUCAAGUGUAGGGUAAACGUGCCGUGAAGGGCGACAAUUCCGUGAGCAAAGAUUUUAAAGGACUGAAAUCCACGGUCGGUGGAAACCGGACGAGUUGCUGGUAAUUGCAAAGGUUUUAAGGAAGUUGUAUGCAUGCAUGCACAUUGCAGUCAGCGUUGAACAAGUAUGUACCAAUUAAUAUGUCAUAGUAGUGACGUGGCACGCAAUCACAUGCAUGAAUGCGAGCCUUUUUCCACUAUAUAGGCACCGACCAGGCAGCCCUUUUUCUUCUAUAGUAAAUUAUGGGCCCUACACUCUUGUUAGAAUCUUUUCAAUAAAAAUAUUAAAUUAUUAGAAUCAAAUUUCAAUUGUUGGAUGAUGUGGCAAUAUGAAAUCUUAUAUCAAAUUUUAGGGUAAAAGACUGUUUACUACCCUCAUGUUUUGUGGUUUUUAACAUUUAGUACAUCAAGGUUUUUUCCGUCUCAGAUUCAUACCUAAAGUGUAAAUUUUGGGACAGUCUCAUACAUCCGUUAGUCAAACUGUUAAAUCUGCCGUUAAUUGUGACGUGGCGCCCAGUCAUGGCGCCACGUGUCAUCCACGUUUUUUUUUCUUCUUUCUUCUUCUUCCUUCUUCUGCAAUUUUUUUUUUCUUCCUCCUCCUUCUUCCUUCCUCCUUCUUCCUUCCCCUUGUUCUCCUUCUUCAUUCUUCUUCCUUCUCCUUCUCCUUCUUCUUCUUCUUCCUCCUCCGAAUAUGGGGAAGUUUUUUUUUUUUCUUUCUUCUUCUUCCUCCUUUUUCCUUCUUUUUCUUCUUUCUUCUUCUUCUUCUUCCUCUGACUGCAACUUUUUUUUUUCUUCCUCCUUCUCCUUCUUCCUUCCCCUUGUUCUCCUUCUUCCUUCUUCUUCCUUCUUCUUCCUCGAAUCUGGGAAAGAUGAAGGUUUUUUUUUUUUUUUUUGAGGAAGAUGAAGAAGAAGGAAGAAGGAAGAAGGAGAAGAAGGGGAAGGAAGAAGGAGAGGAAGAAGGAGGAAGAAGAAGGAAGAAAAAAAAAGGUGCAGUCGGAGGAAGAAGAAGGAAGAAGAAGGAGGAAGGAGGAGGAAGAAGAAGAAAGAAGGAGGAAGGAGGAGGAAGAAGAAGAAAGAAGAAAGAAGAAAGAAGAAAAAAAAUAAAAUAAAAUAAAAAACCUUCAUCUUCCCCAUAUUCGGAGGAAGACGAAGGAAGAAGAAGAAGAAGGGGAAGGAAGAAGGAGGAAGGAAAGGAGAAGGAGGAAGAAAAAAAAAAAAAACCUUUAUCUUCCCCAGAUUCGGAGGAAGAAGAAGGGGAAGGAAGAAGGAGAAGAAGGAGAAGAAGGAGAAGGAGAAAGAAAAGAAAAAAAAAACCUUCAUCUUCCCCAGAUUCGGAGGAAGAAGAAGAAGAAGAAGAAGAAGAAGAAAGAAGGAGAAGAAGGGGAAGGAAGAAGGAGGAAGAAAAAAAAAAGUUGCAGUCGGAGGAAGAAGAAGAAGAAGAAGAAGAAGAAGAAGAAGAAGAAGAAGAAGAAGAAGAAGAAGAAGAAGAAGAAGAAGAAGAAGAAGAAGAAGAAGAAGAAGAAGAAGAAGAAGAAGAAAGAGGAAGAAGGACGAAGAAGAAGAAGAAGAAAAAAAAAAAAACUUCCCCAGAUUCGAAGGAAGAAGAAGGAAGAAGGAGAAGAAGGGGAAGGAAGAAGGGGGAAGGAAGAAGGAGGAAGGAAGAAGGAGAAGGAGGAAGAAAAAAAAAGUUGCAGAAGAAGGAAGAAGAAGAAACAAGAAAAGAAAAGAAAAAAAAAGUGGAUGACACGUGGCGCCCAGUCAUGGUGCCACGUCACAAUUAACGGCAGAUUUAACAGUUUGAUUGUCCCAAAAUUUACACUUUAGGUAUGAAUCUGAGACGAAAAAAACUUGAUGUACUAAAUGUUGAAAACCACAAAACAUGAGAGUAGUAAACAGUCUUUUACCCCAAAUUUUAUGUUUCUCCAACCGAGUUCUCAAAUAUUAUUUUUUUAAAUAAUUUAAAGAUUUAAAUGGUUUUCUUAUUAAAAAAAUUGUUGAAACAAAAUCUUAUUGGUUAGUAGAAUAAAGGGUCACAAUUAAAUUAAACUAAUUAAAAAUAAAUUUGACAUUGAUAUCAAAUUUGACUCUUAUACACAAAGGCUUCGAAUCUGGUCAUCAAAUAACAUUUCAGUUAGAAUGAUCUUUUAUGUCAAAUAUGCACAGACCUAUCUCUACCUAAGGCUAAGAUUUGACAUCACAUUUGAAGAUGUUCUUAGACCAUCUCCAAAGGAAAUGUCAAAUUAUAAGAGUCAAAUUACAAUUGAUGGUUCAUGUCAGCAAUUUGAAGUCUUAUGUCAAAUUUUAUACUUCUCCAAUUGAAUUAUUAAAUGUUAUUUAAUUAUUUAAAUAGAACUUUAAAUAGUUGUAAUUAUUAAAAAAAUAUUGAAAAUUUUUAUUAGUUGAAAUGUUAGUGGAAUAAGGCACCCACGAUUAAAAUGAAUUAAAAAUAAAUUUGACAUUGAUGUCAAAUUUGACUCCAAAUCACAAAACCUUCAAAUCCAGUCAGCAAAUAACACUUUGAUUGAAAAAACUUUUGAUAUCACCAUUAUAAUAUAUGCACAAUGGCAUUCCACUUAGGAUUUUGACAUCUCCCUUGGAUAUACUCUUAGGUGAUCAAAUUUUAGGAAGGAGAAAUGAUAAACGCUCAUUAUGUUUUUUUUUAUUGAUGAUUAAAGUUGAGAUUUUAUCAUAAAAUUAGUCAGCAAGUUGAGGUUUUUUACAAGGUUUGAUUCUUUACCGACACGCGACAUUAUUCUCACAUUCUCACAUAUCAUCUUAGUUUUUUCCAUUUGAUUCAUUCAAUAUCGUACUCAUAUGUUAAAUAAGAGUGUGUAGAAAGAAAUAAAAGAUGGGUGGUUAUCAUAUUUCUUUGAGGGUACAUAGCAUUAUGUGUGGUAAAAGAUUCUAGAAUAAUCUAUCUUAGGCACUGAGAUUUUUAAUCAUUAGAUCUUGAUUAUUAGAUUAUUGGCUAAGAGCCUAACGGCCAAAACUCAUGUGAAGCAUUCUAUAUGUUGUCCAUUGCAAUGAGAAUAACUUGCGCACCGUGAUGGUAUUUCAAGUUAAUGAGAAAAAUUUUCACUAAAUCACAGGGUUAUUUCUCUGGUCCCACAUUAUUUCACAAUUCCAUACAAAAUGUUUUGAUUAAUCCCGUCCUAUUUGUAACAAUAUGGCAACUUCUUAUUAGACGACCUUACAAGCCCGAGCACACAAUGCUUGUACAAAAACUUCACUCCAAGUCCAUCACAUAUUUGUCACAUGAAAAAAUUAUUACUUCACAUAUCAUAAAAUAUGCGUGUAGACACAAACAUGUGAUUUCACGUUUUCUACUUAUUAUGACAUGAAGUAUCGCUUGAAUAGUUGAAAUGUUAGAGAAUCCAUUUCCCACGUCCUUGACAUGGGAGUCAGUAUGCGUGGCGCCACCGCUCCGCCAAUCCGAGACACUUGACUUCCCUGAACGUCUUUUAGAUUCACCCUAUCUUUAAUCAUAUGGUGCAAGCAGUCAAAUAUAAUUGUGAAUUUUAUGCUCCCCGACCGUGUUGCUUAAUUUGCUGUGUGAGAAACAUUUUUUCCAUCCUUUACGAGGGAAUGUUAGUGUACAUAACAUGUCCAAACUCACAACUACAUGGACUUUUCACGUUUUAUCUUCUAUUGUUGUGAUAAUCAAGUACUUUAGUUUUUAGUUCACCAUUUAAAAAUUAGUUUUACAAAAUAUUAAUCAAAUUAGAAAUCAUAACUGUUCAAUUAAUUUUGAAAUCAUAACUGUUCAAUUAAUGUUAAAAUUUUAGUAUUUAAUUAAACGACACGGUUUGUCUAUUUGUUGAGAUAAUUAUUUGAUGACUAAACAAUUUGGAGUUUAGUUCAUUUUUUACUGAGUUAAAAUAUAGACAUUUAGAUCAUCGUGAAACUUUACAUAAGGAUAAGAAGGAGAGUUGAAAAAAUUCAAGAUCCUUUGUAUAAUGGUACUCGACCAUUAAUUCGUAGGAGAUUUCAAGUUAAAAUAGCAUGAACAACGGUUUUGAAACUUACGCAUGUGAAGGUAAGAACAAUUACCCAUUCAUUAUAAAACAUGAAAAUGAAAUUGCAAAUGCUUUGUUCUGUAGCUGUUUAUUCUCGUAUAUUUCAUUCUCAAUUUUUUUGUUAUAAGUUUUGCUAGAAGUGGUUUUGACUUGUUGACACGCAUGACCCUGAUAUCCUCCAAAUAUCAAGGUAGGCAUGUGUCAAAAGAGCAGCACUCAAUGUAUCCAUGGACAUUCAUCGAAGUUCGGAGGGUCAACACCCAAGGUAUCCAUGGACGUUCACCGAAGUUCGGGGGGUCAGCACCCCCUACCCCUCAAUGCAUCCGCCACUGAUUGCAUGCAAGUUAUUCUCAUUGUAAUGGACAACACAUAGAAUGCUUCACAUGAGUUUUGGCUGUUAGACUCUUAGCCAAUAAUCUAAUAAUCAAGAUCUAACGAUUAAAAAUCACAGUGCCUAAGAUAGAUCAUUCUAUAAUCUUUUACAACACAUAAUGCUCGGUACCCUCAAAGAAAUAUGAUAACCACCCAUCUUUUAUUUCUUUCUACACACUCUUAUUUAACAUAUGCGUAUGAUAUUAAAUGAAUUAGAUGGAAAAAACUAAGAUGAAAUGUAAGAAUGUGAGAACAAUGUCCUGUGUAUGUGAUAGGAACAUAUUUAUGCAACUGAGUUAGCUUGUUCUCAUGCAUUUAUGUUGUUAUUUUUUAGUUAAUUAUGUAUUUUAAGCUAUUUUCGUAUGUUUGUAGGUCCAUAGGCCUUAUAAAGCAAUAAGGUGCAUUUUGGAGCAGUUUUGGGCUUGGAAUGGAUAGCACAUGCAUGGAGCAAGGUGAUGGACGAAAUUGAAGACUAAAGAGGCUUGGAAUGUGUUAAAAAGAAAGAAUAAUUAAUGACAAAGAGCUCAGUAACCAAAGAGGAAGCAUGAGUCAAGAUUACCUUAUUUUGAUUUAAUCUUUCUUAAUCCUCAAUGUCCCUAAGUUCCAACAACAUUCCUUGUCUAUUUCAUUCACUCAUUGCCUAGCACCACCCUUGUUCCCUCCAUCAUUUCAAAUUUCUUGCAUCAAUCAUCACUCCACCUUAACCCUUGACUCAUUUCUACACCAUUCCACCUCCCUUUCCUUUCUCUACCAUGUGCACAAUCAUUCAUAUUCCCUACUUGCAUUCAUUGUUGCAACACCACUCCAUUUUACCCAUGCUUUGCAUCAUUACUCCACUUUCACAUUUGAAUCAUUUCAACACCACUCCAUUUUACCCAUGCUUUGCAUCAUUACUCAACUUUGCAUCAUUACUCCACUUUCACUUUUGAAUCAUUUCAACACCACUCCAUUUUACCCAUGCUUUGCAUCAUUACUCCACUUUCACCUUUGAAUCAUUUCAACACUACUCCAUUUUACCCAUGCUUUGCCUUGCACUUCCUCUAUAAAAGGAAGUGUGUGUAACAUAAAUGGAGUUCAUAUAUUUUUUAGAUCAUUCACUCCCAUUUCAACACAACCUUCAUCCAAACACAUCCAUUCAUCUUCACAUCCAUUCCUCCAUACAAACAAACCUUCAAACACUCACCAACACCUUGUGCCGUAGCAAAGGAAGGAAAGAAAAGUGCUUGGACGUGCUUGCUGUCAACUUGGAGCGUUUAAGUGUUUUCUUUCUUUUGUUUCCAAUGUUAAAUUCAUUUUCUGAUUUUGUUGCAAUUAUGAGUGGCUAAAGCCCCAUUUAGUUAGGGGGAAGUUUGAAGCCAUGAACAUGCUUGAGAUAUGAAUUGAUUUCUUCCAAUUGCGAUUUGAUAAGUUGUGAUUGCAAUUCAAUUAUCUAUUUUAUUCAUAACUGAUUCUUGUAUGUUUAUUAAGGAUGCAUACUUAAUUUUCAUGCAUGAAUUAGAUGCUAGAAUAUAAAUGAGUUUCACCUAAUCGUUACAAGUUUAUAUUCAUGAGUAGUGAAGGUUGUUUAUCACAAUCGCGUUAAUUGAAUUCUUGGCAAUUGUAUCAUGCAUUCAUAGUUAUAAUUGUCUCGUCAACACUUACGAUUUUCAUUGAACGUAAUGAUCUCUGAUUGUAUCUCUAUUAUGCAUUCAUAUAGGGGACUUUUAGAGAAUGAUUUGGGUUGUCGCAUGCAUUCAUCCAAUUCAAUGAGUAAAGGAAAAUCUAAGGGUUAAUUUGUGCAUCACGGUUAAUCUGGGGUGUUGAGCAUAGUAGUUUAUUGAAAAGCAAUUGGAAAUCGAUUCAUGUACAAGUGUGUCAUGUGUGAAGAAUGGACCUCUAACUAAUCCAUCCAAAACAACCAAUUUUGUGCAAAUCUGUUUAGUUCUAGUUUCUGUUUUGUUUUACUUUAUUUUCGUCCAAAACCCAAUCCCCCUUUACUUUAGUGUGUCUAAUUAGUUAGAAUUUGUUUUAGUUUGUGUUUUUAAGUGUUUUGAGUCUAUAGAGUCUAGUUAAGUGUUUUUAAGUUUCUUUUUGUAAGUCAGUUUAGUUUAGAUUAGCAAUCCCUCCUAAUCCCCGGUCCAGAACGAUCCCUACUUAUACAUAUACUACAAUUGUCAAAAGAGGGUUUAAUUUGAGUGCUUAACUUUCAUCGCAUCAGUAUGUAAAGAAUCAAACCUUGUAAAACUUCAACUUGCUGACUAAUUUUAUGAUAAAAUCUCAACUUUAAUCAUUAAUUAAAAAAAAACAUAAUGAGCGUUGAUCAUUCCUCUUUUCUAAAAUUUGAUCAACUAAGAGCAUAACCAAAGGAGAUGUCAAAAUCCUAAGUGGAAUGCGACUGUGCAUAUUAAUGGUGAUAUCAAAAGUUUCUCCAACUGAAGUGUUAUUUACUGAUUGGAUUUGAAGGUUUUGUGAUUUGGAGUCAAAUUUGACAUCAAUGUCAAAUUUAUAUUGAAUUCAUUUUAAUGGUGGGUGCCUUAUUCCACUAACAUUUCAACUAAUAAAAAUUUUGUUUCAAUGUUUUUUUAAUAAUUACAACCAUUUAAAGCUCUAUUUAAAUAAUUAAAUAACAUUUAAUAAUUCGGUUGGAAAAAUACAAAAUUUGACAUAAAACUUCAGAUUGCCAUAUCAGUCAUCAAUUGUAAUUUGAUUCUUAUAAUUGGACAUUGCCUUUGGAGAUGGUCUAAAGAAUAUCUUCAAGGGUGAUGUCAAAUCUUAGGUAGAGAUAGGUCUAUGCAUUUUGACAUAAAAGAUCAUUUUAAUCGAAAUGUUAUCUGCUAAUUGGAUUCGAAGCCCUUGUGUAUAGGAGUCAAAUUUGAUAUCAAUGUUAAAUUUAUUUUGAUCAGUUUAAUGCUGAAUCCUUUCCACUAACAUUUCAACCAAUAAGAUUUUGUUUCAAAUUUUUUUUUAAUAAAAACAACCAUUUAAAUCUUUACAUUAUUAAAAAAAUAACAUUUGAGAAAUCGGUUGGAGAAAUAUAAAAAUUGAUAUAAGACUUAAAAUUAUUACAUCAACUAACAAUUGUAAUUUGAUUCUAAUAAUUUCAUAUUUUUAUUGAAGAUAGUCUAACAAGAGUGUAGGGCCCCAUAAUUUACCAUAGAAGAAAAAGGGCUGCCUGGUCCGUGACUAUAGAGUAGAAAAAGGCUCACAUUCAUUCAUGCCUGUGAUUGCGUGCCACGUCACUACUAUGACAUGUUAAUUGGUACGUACGUGUUCAACGCUGACUGCAAUGUGCAAUCUCCGGAUUUGGAUCAUUGCCCCUGGAAUCAUAUGAAUCAACGUACAUGAACUGUUGAUAAAAAUUUGUGUGGUUCCAAUUAAAUGUUUUUUAUAUUUUUAAAAAUAAAGUAAUCUUGUUUUAUAUAAAACACAUAACAAGAAAAAUAUUAAGACCGCAUGAUUUUUUAUCAACGGUAUAUGUACGUUGAUCCUUAGGAUCUCAAGUGAAGGGAGGAUCCAAUUCCAUUACCAGCAACUCUUCCGGUUUCCACAGACCGUGGAUUUCAGUCCUUUAAAACCCUUGCUCACGGAAUUGUCGGCCUUUACGGCGCGUUUACACUACCAACCUUGACAUAGGACGUGUCUUUUCUUUCUAUUCUUGUCCUUGUGGUCGUCUUUGUGAUUUGAACAAUUACGCGCACUUACUAGAAACCGACAACGCUAAGCUGACGAGACUACGAUAUUUUUUUUUUUUUUUUUUACAGACAGUAUUAUUUAUACUCAAGAAUGGAGGGUGGGUUUAGCGUCUUAAGGAUAGAGAAUAUGCUUAGCGUCUUAAUUUUAUAAUGAAUUAGUAAUAAUGUGGUUUAAAUUUGUAUUUGACAAUAAUCGAAUUUAAAACCUCACUUUUAAGUGAAAAAAAAUACAACUAGAUCGUAAGAGAUUGUGAUUUAAGUUUAUUAUUUUUAGGAAUUAGGAAAAACCGGAUUAAAGCUAAUAAUUAGUUGAUGCUUUUUCUUCAAAACCGAGAAAAUGUGUCCACCGUCAUGCUAGGAAGACUCUUAAAAGUGAAAUGGUAUAAAUUAUUAUACUAAAAAUACGAAGUGUCGGAGAGUUUAUGAAUAGUCCUACAUUGAGAGUCUCCUUAACAUUUCGUUUACCAUUUUGAGCUGACGGUUACAAUUACUGCACUAAUAUAUAUAUUUUUUUGUGAACAAAACUGUACUAAUGUUUUGAAUUCCCUUUGUAUGUUACAUAAUAUUAAAUGUAACGAGUAUUAGAUGGUCUGAAUAUAUGGAGCCACAACAAAAAUACCAAUACAAAUCAAUUUAGGUAAUCCAAUGCUCUUAAAAUUUUAUUCUACUUAGCGCAAAAGAAUUUUCUUAAUAUUUCUUUUUUACAGUUUGUUCAUCUUAUUGAUGCACGGUCUGAAUAUUGGUGUCCACAAUAUUAGAAUUCAACGCAUUCCUGCUAAUUUGACUUUGCCACUAAACUAAGCCACACAAAACUAUGAAAUUUCCAACCCAAAACCCAAAGGAAAAAAGAAGAAGAAGAAGAAGAAGAUUAGCACAUGGUGCCAUGAUGGUGGUCAUUUGGCCUCAAAAUACAAAGUGUUCAACUUAUGUGAUGAGAAUUAAAACUAAAAUUUUGUAAAUGGUAUAGGACAUGGUUUUGUCAAAUCAAGAGUUUUUACGAAACAUGAUAUUAGUGCGUUCAUUCCAUAUAAUCAAACUAUAUAUAUUGCAUUAGUUAAAAAAUAGAAUAUAUCACACACAUUACAAAAGUUGUAUUUUAUUUGCACAAAAUAAUUUUAGUGAUAUUAAUAUACUAAGCAUAACACAUCACACACCGUAUAUUUUAUUUACGAAAAUAAUUUCUAGAAUAUAAAUCAAAAUCAAGGAUAUGAUACAACCAAAAUCAAGAAAUGGUAGGAUCAUUAUGGACAAAAAUAGGAUUAUAUUUUGAGUGUGUUGAUUCUAAAAUUUUUAAAGCCUAUAUGGCGCGCGGUUGGAGUAACUAAUGAACUAACUAUGUCAUUUUGUUGAUGCAUGUGUGCCAAUUCACAAUCAAACUCGGUUGGGUGAAUGAGAUGAAAAUGUGGUAGUGUACACUAGCGGAGCCACAUUAAGGGCUACCAUGGGCUAUAGCCCAAUUAGCUUUCGGGAAAAAAUAAAAUUUUACAUGUACUUUUCAUUGAUUUCCGAAUGUAGCCCACCUAUAUUUAGUCACUACUCUUAGUUCUCUCAGCUUAAUUAUAUAAAAUUAUAUAAUACAGUUUACAAAUCAUCUAUUUUUCUUAGAUCUUUUUUCUCAUGACUUCUUGUACAUAUAUGUUUCAAGUUUGGAUCUGUUUGAAUUUUAACAUGUAUUUUUGAAUAACAAAAAAUUAUUGGCUUACUUUGUGCAAGUUUUCUUAAACUAGUUGAUACUGUGAAAAAAUACAAUAUCAAGUUUCUUUUGUUUAUAAAGAUAGAAAUCUUUAAGCUAGCCCACCCUGUGAAAAUUUCCUUGCUCUGCUAUUGGUAGUGUGGUGAUGAAAUGGGCUACUGACUUCUGCACCGAGCAACUUUGGUCAAGAAAGGAACACUCUCGACCUUGGGUUCUGAAACAUGAAGAUAAAGUUAUGUUUUAUGGCUACAAAAUUCAAUCUUUUGCAUGUGGUUCGACUGGUUCAACUAUAUUUGUGAAAAUAUAAGUGCGCCAAAUUGGUAUCAAGAUUUAGGGACAAAGAUACUCAAAAGAAAUGAUUGUCUUUACGAUGAAAGUAGUUCGGCUGUCUGAAUACGAACUCUGAAAUGCAGUUGUUAAUAACCAAUCAUGGAACACCUAACUUUACCAUGAAUGCUGAUGAAGUGACCUCUCUUGAUGAAAGAAUUGAUGAAUCUUCUACGCUUGAAUCUUGGGAUAGAUAAUUAACCGAACUAGAAAUAGUGUUGUUUAACCAAACUGAAAGUACUCCUAGGCCGACUAAUUCUACAGGUUCACUGAUGGUCAAUCGAACUGAAUAUAUUGCCGGUUUGUUAACCCAUCGAUGUUUAAUUAAACUGAAUAUGUGCUGGCAGAGGGGUUAGUGGAGCAAUUAGUUAGUAUUUUUCUCAUGACAUGAGAAGAUUUAAUGUAGAGCAAGGAUUCAACGUAAAGCGUUUGUUUGUGUGGGUUGAAGAUUGCAAAACCACUUAUAUUUAUAGAGGUGAGUUUCAUGAUGUCCAAGUUUACCGAGUGGUAUAAUUUUGGUUACAUUUCAAUUCAUCAGCAUAUACUUCAAAAUACAAAAUUAUCUUCACAAUUUCCUUCACCAAAACUCAUCACCAUCGAGUUUCAUUUGCACUACGGUUCUGAAUCUAGUUGCAUGAAGUGAUAAAGUAAACCCUGAUUGAAAAACCAAUCAUGAUUCUUUAAUAAACAACUCCCUCAUCAGAAACCGAUUUUGAUCUCAAGACAGUCAUACUUUAUCCAGUAUCUGGUCGAAUCAUUAGCAUCUCUCCACUGGUUUAAGACUUGCAGCCACCCUUCUGAGCUGAUUUCAAUUAAGUCAAAAAUGUGAAUUUCAGGCCCAACAAAGUAAUAUCAAUCUACUAAGCAUAACGCACAUUACACAAGGUAUAUUUUAUAACAAAAAUGACUUAUUUUAGAAUACAAACAAAAUCAGGCCUUAGUAGGAUCAUCAAAGAAAAAUUAGGAUUAUAAUUUGAGUAAUAUUAAUAUACUAAGCAUAACACACAUUACAAAAGGUAAUAUUUUAUUAACAAAGUAAUUUCUUCCAUAAUACAAAUCAACAUCAAGGUUUAGUAAGUAGGAUAUUUAAGGAGAAAAAAAUUAGAGAGUUUUAAUUGGAUAAUUAGAAAUAUCUAUGUCCGUUCCCAUCUAAGAUUUUUGAACCAAAAAUUAAUAUUAUAAUACUUGCGCGCCACUCAUUCACCCAGUAUAUAGAACCGACUGCAACGGUCCAAACGCCGUCUCUCAUGAAAAAAAACGCCCCUAGUAUCUUCCUCUCACUUCCCCUAUAAAAACUCACCUCCUUCCAAACCAUUUUCCCAAACCAAAUUCCAUAAAUCCCAUGGACACCAAAAUCGGUUCCCUCGACGUUUGCAAGCCGGCGUGCACCAACGUCGGCAGCCUCCCGAACGGCGCCGCUUCGGCAAUCCAAAGCACUGCCCCCUCCACCGUCAACUCCUCUGACGCCACUCUGGGUCGCCACAUCGCCCGCCGCCUCGUCCAAAUCGGCGUCACUGACGUGUUCACUGUCCCCGGUGACUUUAACUUGACCCUCCUCGACCACCUCAUCGCCGAGCCCGGGCUCACCAACAUCGGCUGCUGCAACGAACUCAACGCCGGGUACGCUGCUGACGGCUACGCUCGGUCGCGGGGAGUCGGGGCGUGUGUUGUUACUUUCACUGUCGGUGGGCUCAGUGUUCUCAAUGCUAUCGCCGGAGCUUACAGUGAGAAUCUUCCAUUGAUUUGUAUAGUUGGAGGACCCAACUCGAACGAUUACGGGACGCACAGGAUUCUUCACCACACUAUUGGCUUACCGGAUUUUAGCCAAGAGCUGACAUGCUUCCAGACCGUCACUUGCUAUCAGGUUUGCAUGAAAUCAAGAUUUUGGUUUUUUAAUUUAUUUUUUAUUUUGAAUUUUGAUGUUGGGUUAUUGAUGAGUUUUGCGAAAGAUUUGUAGUGAGUUUGGUUUUGCUAAAUUUGGUAUUGUUUUGCUCCUUUUUGGUUCGUUUUGAAAGUUUGCUAAUUUUCAUAUGGUGGGUUUUUACUAGGCUAUGGUAAAUAAUCUGGAAGAUGCUCAUGAAAUGAUUGAUACCGCAAUUUCAACCGCCUUGAAAGAAAGCAAGCCUGUUUAUAUCAGCAUAAGCUGCAACUUGGCUGGAAUUCCUCAUCCUACUUUUAGCCGGGAUCCUGUUCCGUUUUCAUUGUCUCCAAGGUACAGAUUUACGGGUUUCUGUUCCAUUUAGUUGAAGUGUCUGGAAAUGUUUUGUAACUUUUUAGGUGUGAAAUUUAUAUAUUUGUUUGUUUUGGUCUGCAGAUUGAGCAAUCAUUUGGGCUUAGAGGCUGCCGUGGAGGCAGCUGCAGAGUUCUUGAACAAGGCAGUAAAGCCGGUUAUGGUUGGGGGGCCUAAACUUCGAGUUGCACAUGCUGGCGAUGCCUUUGUUGAACUAGCUGAUGCUAGUGGUUAUGCUCUGGCUGUCAUGCCAUCUGCAAAGGGGCUUGUGCCAGAGCACCACCCCCAUUUCAUUGGAACAUACUGGGGUGCUGUGAGCACUGCCUUUUGCGCCGAGAUUGUGGAGUCUGCAGAUGCAUACUUGUUUGCUGGACCGAUUUUCAAUGACUACAGCUCUGUUGGAUACUCUCUGCUUCUUAAGAAAGAGAAGGCAAUUGUGGUGCAGCCUGAUCGCGUGACCAUAGCAAAUGGCCCUUCAUUUGGUUGUGUUCUCAUGAAGGAUUUCCUCCGAGCUCUGGCAAAGAGGCUCAAGCACAACAAAACUGCUCAUGAGAACUACAGCAGGAUCUUUGUUCCCAACGGACACCCUCUAAAGUCUGCACCGAAAGAACCUUUGAGGGUUAAUGUACUGUUCCACCACAUCCAGAAUAUGCUGUCAAGUGAAACUGCUGUUAUUGCUGAGACAGGGGACUCAUGGUUUAACUGCCAGAAACUGAAAUUGCCGGCUGGUUGCGGGUAAGCCAAGGAGAGAAUGCGGUUUUUCAUGUUUCUUUCUAUGCUAUGUUUUUUUGUUCACUUGGGAAGUUGAAAUUGGGUUUGCAGGUAUGAGUUCCAAAUGCAGUAUGGAUCAAUUGGUUGGUCAGUUGGAGCAACUCUUGGGUAUGCUCAAGCUGUUCCUGAGAAGCGUGUGAUUGCUUUCAUCGGCGAUGGGAGUUUCCAGGUACAUUUAGUUCUUUUUCUCUAGCAGUAAAUUGUAAAGUACCCAUUAGGAACCUUAUUAAUUUUUCUCGGUUAACAUUAUCGGAUUUGUAGCAUAAUAUUUCAUCAAUCACCCGUCUUUUGAAUUUAAUUUAAAUUAUGCAUUGUAUUUGAAAGAGCUUUUUUGAACUUUUCCAUUUUUCACUCACUAAUUUUGAGCGGACGUUUCGUUCAUGUUUUUAUGCUUUCGUUGUUUCAAUGCCUAAUAGGUGACUGUUCAAGAUGUGUCCACCAUGAUCCGAAAUGGGCAGAAGAACAUCAUCUUCCUGAUAAACAACGGCGGAUACACAAUUGAGGUGGAGAUCCAUGACGGACCCUACAAUGUGAUCAAGAACUGGAACUACACUGGACUAGUUGAUGCCAUCCACAACGGGGAGGGCAAGUGCUGGACAACCAAGGUAAUUAGUUUGUUAAUGCAUUCUAAUCGUCUCCUUAAUCUGUUCCAACUAAUCAAUCAAAGGGUUUCCUGGAUCGCAAAACCCCUUGUAACCGAAUCUUUCAAUUCUGCAGGUCCGUUGCGAAGAGGAGCUGAUUGAAGCGAUUGAGACUGCAACCGGGGCGAAGAAGGAUAGCUUGUGCUUCAUUGAGGUGAUAGCCCACAAGGAUGAUACCAGCAAAGAGUUGCUUGAGUGGGGGUCUAGGGUUUCUGCUGCCAACAGCCGCUCACCCAACCCUCAGUAAAGUCAUCUCAUUUCCUUUCAUCAACGUAGCGUCAUUCGAUCUGGGAGAAAUGAAAAAAAGUAUUUGUUCCUUCUUGUGAAGGGUUUCUUAUGUUUUGUUUUUAAUAUUUUUCCAUGAAAAAGGGUUUCUCAAGUACAUUCCCCUCUGAAUUACGAGCAUCUUCUCAUAUUUUAAUUAGUUUAUGUGAUCUAGUUUGCGUAUUGCAUAUUAAUUCAAAAACUUCCAUUUCAAGUCUAACUGUCAACACGUCUUUUUACGUGCGAUGGUAAAUCUUUUUUACUUGACACUUGUAUACUUUUUAUUGGAUGACGCGAUACAAUAAUAUUAUUGGGCUUGGUGUGAAUAGCAUUAUUUACUACCAUGUUAUGGUGUGUAUCUAAUCAAAACUAACCGAUCGUGAAAGUAAGUAUUCUUGACAAAUCCGCCUGUUUGAGGAACAACAUUAUUGAUUGUAUUUUGUAAUUAAGCGUAAUUGUCACAUCCCAGACCGGUUCCGCCGUAACACGAUAUUGUCCGCUUUGGUCCUCGCCACGCCGUCACAGUUUUGUUUCUGGGAACUCACACGAGAACUUUCCAGUGGGUCACCCAUCCUGGGAAUGCUCUCGCCCGAACUCGCUUAACUUCAGAGUUCCGAUAGAAUCCGAAGCCAGUGAUUUUCUAAAAAGCCUCGUGCUAAAUGAAGAUGGACAUGUAUAUAUAAGGUACAUCACCUCCUCUCUGUUGGUUGAUGUGGGAUGUUACAGUAAUACUAAGUAGGCUAAUUUUGUAAAUCAUAUUUACAAACUAUGUGACGCACUAAUAAAAAAAUAAAUACGUUAAUUAAUAUUUAAAUAAUAAUUUGAUUAUUAACUAUAUUUAUAAUUUAUAAAAUGUAAUGUGAAUAUCCAACAUUACCUAAACUAUUAAUUUAAUAAUAAAUAUGUUUUAUUUUCCAACUGAUAUAAUAUAUUGGAAUGUCAAUGUCAUUAAUUUCUGGUUAAAUUAAUUGUCAAUUUUGUACUGAUGGCGUUGUCAUAAUGCUGUCCCUGGUACUUUUUCAGUGCGUUAUGAGAAGGAAAGGACAAAAGAGAAAUGUAACAAAAUGUGCACCGACAUCGUUGGUUUUUCGCGAUGUUGUUUGUCGAUUUGAUAGUAUAACAAGAAUAAAAAACGACAGUUUACCUCUGAACUUUUACUUUAAAACCAUCGCCAACCCUGAUCUAUAACUUAUCUUUCCCUCUCUCAUUCAACCCAACUCAAGCUUAAAAUUGGAUCUAAAACCUAAAACAAAACCAAAUUUAGCCCAUAAUUAGUAUGGCUGACCCACCAUAUAUGUAUAUUUUAUUUAGUUUUAUAUUUAUAAAUUAAUUGAAUCAACUGGUUAAGAUCUAAUUUGAUGAAAAUCAACGGUAAAAAAAAAAGUUAACGGUCCAAAUUUAAAUCUAACGGCUUAUGUAAUUAAAAAAAAAAAUUUAUGUGUUUCAUAUUUUUUUUCAUAGUGUUUAACGAGUUUCAUGGUAUCGGUUAGUGAUUUUUCAGUAUUUGUCAGAAUCUAAAUAUUUUUAGGUUAAAAUGUUCAUAAAAUUAAAUUUUGAUAGUCUACAUAAUUUUUUCUUUUACAAAAUUUUACUUUAAGAAAAAAAAUUAGCCUAAAUUGAUUCUUUAAUAAUCUAGAGCUAAAAUUUUAGGUCAAAGGGGUUUGAGCAUAAAAGUUGUUUCUAGGUUAAAACCUAAAUUUUCUAGGCUAAAAAGUUUAGAUAUUAGGCCAAGGGUUGGAGAUAGUCUAAGACCAUCUCCCAUCGAAUGAGGGUAAGAAGGCUCAUUUUAACCCUCUAUUUGAAAUCCCAUCUCCGGAAAUUCACCAUUCAUUAUGUAUCUCGUAAUUUAAUUUCGUAUUUCGCGAUUACGUUAUCUUUAUUAGUUAAUUUUAGUUCCGUUUAUUUUAAUUUUAGUAAUUGAUUAAUUAUCGAGUUGGAAGUUUCAUAAUCAAUUUUUAUCUUUCGUUGACCUUUCGAAGUUAUAACUAGUGUCUUUAAAUAGAUCUUGAACCCACGAACGCAUAGGCGAAAGCUGUUUGCGAGUCCAAAUUAUAACGAUAUAGUUACGGAUGUUUGAAGUUGUGAAACUUUAGAUUGUGGACCACUUGAGAGUAAAAAGGCCCAAAAAUAUAAGUGGGUUAAGGGAACCGGUUAUUAGGAGUAAAAGGGAGGGGGGGACUAAUCUUUUUAUUAGAGGAGGAGAAAAAAAAAAUAGAAAGGUGGACAUUCUUCUUUCUUUUCCCCCCAUUUCUUGAACCCGUGUGCCAUAGUUGCCAUUUCUUUCACAACCGGCCAACUUCAGGCCAACUUCUACCAUUUCUCAACUGACUUUCCUAUCUCCUUCACCUGCAACCUGUUCAACUACCUUCCUCCUUCCAUCCUCACGGAAAAUCAAGGGUUUUUAAGGUCUAUUUCAUGUAGAACUCCAUAGGAGAACCCGGGGGUUUUCGACAACGAAUUGUCAUUCCGGAGAGUAUCACCAUCACCCUUAAUCAACUUCCCUUGGACCCAGGAACAAGACCCAACUGGUGGUUGGGGUGUUGGAACACCAAGGAAGCCGAAUUGAAGAACUCCCACCUUAGGGUUUCUUUGGGUGCGAGCCAAUUUGAGGGCUUUUUCGGCCAAAUUGGACUCGGCUACAGAUAUAAAGUUUACUCUACUUGUUGAGAUCUUCAUUCUUGUAAAAUUUGAGAAUUUUUGAAAAAAGUCGAAUUUUCCGAUACGUGACAUUUGAUUUAUGAAAAUGUUGUUGAUUGUAUAUAUUAUCGAUAAGGUCUGCCACUUGAUUAUUCUAACAAUUGACAAUCUUAUCAUUGAAUUGACAUCAAAUUUUAGUAUGCUAUUGUAGAUAUUGUUUAAGGACCUUAGGGACUUAUAAGGGAAAAUCUAGUGAUUGGAUUUUACAAAGCAAAUGAUGUAAGAUCAUGGACUCUACAUUAGAACGACGGUUCGAUUCCUCAUUAAAUGUUGUUGUGGGAGACAUGAGAAUUUUUGAGUAUGUGAAUUAUCAAAGGAAAUCUAAAUGUGGACUUGUGCUUUGUUAGGCGGUGAUAGAAUAUGAUGCCUUGAUUAUCGUGGGAGGGUACAUUAGCACGGACUCCAAGUGAGUGACUUUAAUAUAUGUGAUAUUAGUAAUUACCAAGUUGUCAUAAUUAUGAUCUUGUGUGGAUAUGAAUUGGUUUUAUGAAUAUGUUCUAUUCAAAUUUUUAUUCCAAUACUUCGACAUCAAUUUAUGUUUAUGAAAUGGGGUGUGGCAUGUAUAUUGGAAAUGUGGUUUGAUUUGUAUGAUUGACAUGUUGAGAUUAAAGUGAGGACUAGUAAUAGACCGUUAACCAUUAUGAUGGGGAUUUGUUGCUUUGAUAUUGUUUCACCUUUCGCUUCGGUGAUUGGUUCUAAAUUUAGUAAUUGUGCCUAAUCUCCCUUUGUUGAGUUUUUGUAAAUUAAGUAGCAUGUGCUUGUCUCAUUUCUUUCAGCUAUUGUACAUUCUGGUUGUUGGUUUUCUACGAUUCCGUUGAGUGAUGGUCCGAAAUCGUGUCCACUCGGAUUCCGUUGAGAGAUGGUCCAGAAUCCCUUCUAUUCCGUGAUUCCGUUGAGUGAUGUUCCAGAAUCGUAUCUAACUUGGGUUUCAUUUAGUUAUUGUUAUGUAUUGUACUUAGCAAUUCCGUUGAGUGAGGGUCCAGAAUCGUAUCCACUUGGAUUCCGUUGAGAUGGUCUCGAAUCCCUCAUAUUUCGAUAUUCCAUUGAGUGAAGGUCCGGAAUCGUACUCACCUUGGGAUUUAUUGAAUUUGAAUUGAGAUGGCUUCAAAGUGUAGGCUUCGGCCAUAUUGAGUCGCUCUAACUCUACUUUUCAUUGUGUUGUAUGAGAAGAUGGUUGUGAGAUGUUGUGAUUGGUUUCAGACGAACAUUUGGAUGUCUGGGUGACUCCUUCGGGGUUUACAAAAGUUGGUAUUGAUUUCUUAUGAAUGAUUUAUAUUCAAGAUAUGUAAACUGUGUUUGAUGGUUGGCAUUAGCAUUAUUCUCACAUACUUGAUAUUAUUGUCACUCUCAAAAGCUUCGCAACUUAUCCAGGUUGUUGUUUGCCUGGUGCGCCAUUCCGAUGGUGUAGGCACUGAUCGUACAGGUGACAGGUUUGAAUAGACUCCGAGAAGUUUGUAGGUGGGGGUAGCAGUGCAGUUAUCAGAGACUUGGAGUGUUAGGUUGCCCUUGAUUCACUCUUGUACUUUAUCUUUUGGGACUUUCUUUUGAGCAUCUCAUACUUGUUCUUAGUAAAGCAAAGAUUAUGCUUCUUUUUGGGAUGUACAUAUUUGUAAAUAUUUUGUGGAGAACUUAGCCACCUUCAUAUUAUUUUGGGUUAUCAGUUAAGGUAUUUCAUUCCGUAACUUAUACCGUAUUCAACGAACGUUAUUUUCCUUGUCACGUGUCGAUUCUCGACGUAUGUUGGGAUCGGGACGUGACACUCUGGUCUUCCAAGAAAUUAAUAUUUUAAUGAACAGUAUAGGCCCGCAGGGCCAUAUUUCUUACCAUCUCCAACCGAAGGCCAAACAUAAUUUAUUAUUUAAAUUUAAAAACUACAACAACUUAAAUUUAAAAACUACAAUUUAAAUUUAGAAACUACAACAACUUAAUGUUGUUUCAUGUUACUUAAUUUAAUUUAAUGUUGUUUAAUGGCUUAGAAAGUUGUAGGAAAAAAAAUAGAAUUAAAAAAAAUGAAAAAUUUUCCAAAAAACAAUUAAAAAAUAAUGGCUAGCUGAUGUCAAAUAGCUAGCCAUUGCAAUUUGAAUUUUGGCUCGGCCCAAGGCCGGUUGGCUGGUUUUGGGUCGGUCGGUUGGCCCUUUGGCCCUUUUUUGUCCAGUGAGGCCCACGAGCCCUUUGGCCUGACCCUUGGUUGGAGAAGGUUUUCAAGCUAUUUUCGGCCAUUUGGCCCUCUGGACCCUUCAGUUGGAGAUGACCUAAGUGAAAGGGUCUUUCAAAGCUAAACUUUUUAUGAAGUAUCUGCAACUAAAUAUUUUUGGUAUAAUAUUUUAUGAUGUGAGUACAAAAAUUUUGUCAAAACAUGAGGUGUUGGAGAGUACAUAGAAUUCAACUUUCAAGAGAGUCUGCUUAUAUUUCCCUUCACCCUAAUAUUGAUCAUAAACUUAAAUCUAGUUUAUAUUUAAUUCAUGAUCACAUAUUUAGAUAUAUAACACCGACGUGGAUGGCGAAUUAUUAUAUUAAGAAAUCUUAAUGAAAAUUAGCGACAUGGACAAAAAUAGUGCACGUUUGUUAAAUUCAACAACCUCAAUCAAGAAAUUUUUUGUUCAGGAAUCAAUUAUAUAUUAUAGCGAAAGUUCAAAGAUAAAAUAUAAAAUUUCCUAUUGCAAACAUGUUUCCCAAUUUUAAUUUUUUAGGGAUACUAACAAUCUUAUGGUUGACAAGUUUGUGGAGAAACUUUUUAGUAUGUCCGUAACACGAGGUGGUACAUCCAUGUCAUCGUAUGAUUAGAAGAAAGCUAAGUUGGGCUCUUGUUUUUCAGUUGCUAGAAUUUUCAUUUGUUUUAAGUUUUGCCUGAAGUUGAUUGAAAAUAAAGUAGAAAAUACAUUAUAAAACUAACUAGAGCUAGUAUAAUUCACUUAAAAGGUGAAAGCAGAGAGCACGCUUCUUUGUUUCUUGGAUCUUAAGAUACCUCAAAGCCAUUUCAAUUAAACCUUUGAUUUAUGUGAACAUGACUUCGGUGACGUCCAAUUCUUUCUUCAAGCUGAGGAAACAUGUUAACAAGGAUCGUAUGCAUGGCUUCGUAAUACCAUUUACUCCAUCUCUUGCACAGCACAAGUGAGCCAAAUGCAACUCCGAACCCAAAUGCGAAUCCAAUUUCGAUACUGAUAAGAUCCCAGUCAAUCUCAUCUUCAGAAUUUUGUUUACUUCUAUUUAAUGCUGCUGCUGGUGAUGAUGAUCCUGCUUUGUUGUCCACUGUCAACGGAGGCCCCCAUAAUCCUUUGUUUUUAGUAAGGAAGGCUUUUGGAAAUGUCAAGAACUGAGUACUAGUUGGGAUCCUGCCAAUCAGUUGAUUGUUUGAGAGAUUCAAGAACAAAAGGAAAGUAAGCUUUGUCAACUAUGAUGGAAUUUGCCCGCUUAGCUUGUUUUGUGACAGGACUAAGGACUCGAGCUGUCUCAUUUUCCAAAUGACGAUGGGAUUUCCCUUGUGAAUGCUUUACUUGUUUAGGAAAUACAAUGACUUGAAUUCUCCCACUUCCUCAGGUAUUGGUCCACUGAAAUUGUUGCAUGAGAAAUCAAUCCAGGUAUAGACUAUCAUAAUCUUUACCAGAUCCAUCUCUAAACCUUUGCUGGUAACUGUUAUAGCAUGCUGAUAAGAAAUUCUAGGUCCUCCAGCAGUGUGUGGAUUUUCUUGGAAAUAGAUUGUCGAUAGGGAAUCAUCUUAGUUACCAUCAUUGUCCUUCACGUUGUCAAGGCUACUCUCGGUACUUCACCACUGCAGUUGGCUAACGACUUUGGAAAUUGACCUUGUAUCUGAUUUCGAUUGAGCUCUAAAGGUUUCAAGUCACUAUUUUCAAGAAAUUCAAAAUUAGAAAUAGUUCCCGUAAGGUUGUUUCUCUUUAAAUUGAGUAACUCUAAGAUUGCUCAUUGCACCCAGGCAUUGGGGAAUCCUACCACUCAAAGAAUUAUUUGACAAAUCAAGAAUGAUCAAUUCAUUUACAUUGCAUAUUGAUGCUGGAAUGAGCCCAUGCAAGUUCUUGCUUGAAAAAGACAAGAACAAAGUGGAACCAAGAAAAUAAGAAACGGGACAAGUAAGAACAUAACCAAUGUUCGAUGGUACAUUGGAGCGCUCGAGUAAUCCAUAUAAACGGCACGUGGUAGGAAAAGUAGGAUAGGCCCCUUAAGUUGGUUUGAAUGAAGGUCAAGGAUGUUCACCGGCGAUGUAGAUUUGAUUAAAGGACCUUCAAGACUUACCAAGGCGUUACAAGAAAGAUUUAGAUUGUAAAGAUGACUGAGCCCCCAAAUCCAAUUGGGUACUUGGCCUUGAACUUGGUUUUUCGAAAGGUCCAACUUUCGUAAAUAAGUUUGAAUUCUCAAGAAAUCUGGGAAUGUUCUCAACUUGUUGGAACCUAAUCCAAGUUGUUUACUUGAAGGAAGAACAACAAAUCUGAGGAAAUUGUUCGAGUAUUGUUAAUUACUAAGCUGUUGUGGGAAAUAUCAAGGUACGAAAAUGUGGCUGUUUAGAACUAACAUAGGAAGGAAAGCUAUUGAAAUUGUUGGAAGUAAGAAAAAAUUGUUUAAGGUUUUGAAAACUAAAGACAGACACUGGUACUGGUCCUUCCAAAUUGUUGGAACUCAAAUCGAAGGCAAACAAGUUGGAAGGGACGUUACGAAAAAUUAGGGAAACAUGGGAGGAGAAAAGAUACAUGACGGAAUACUCCACUGAGGAAAUUGUAGUCCAACUUAACAUUCACUAGACCAUUAAUCCCUCCGAGUGUUUCACAGUAAACCUUAAAAGCUUGUCCGGCUUAGAACAAAUGACCUAAGAGAUCCAUCGUUGUGAAAUUCUGGCAAGGAACCAUGAAGUUCCGAAUUAGAGGAAAGGUCUGUCGUAACCUUGAAAAGCUUGUCCCGCUCAGAACCAAUGAUCGAAGAGAUCUGCUGUUGCGAAAUUCUGGCAAUGAACCAUAAAGUUCAGGAUUGGAGGAAAGAUCAGUAGUUUGUAGAGUACAUACCUGAAAGAUUUCGUUCAUAAAUGUUCCUUGCAAAUCACAAUUACUAAGACUCAAGGAAGUCAGGUUUGAAAAGUUGGUAAAGAAUCCUGGAAUUGGGCUGGAGAUAUUGUUGCUAUGCAAUUUGUAAAACCUUCUAUUCUGUGUGAAAGGUUUUCAUUAAGAAAAGAGUAAUUGGUAUAAAGAGAGACUUAUACAGAUACAUGGAUCAAUCAAGAUCCUGGAAUUAAGCCUAUAGAAGCUAUUACGUGAGUUAGACUCCUAUGUGGAUGAACAGCAAUCUGAGAUGACUGUACAAUAAUCGAGGAGAUGGACUACUUAAAUCAAGGGACUGAUGACAGACUUUGCUUUACUCAACACUCCCUCUCAAGUUGGAAUGGAUGUUGAUUAUUCCUAACUUGCAAAGCAAAGUCGUGAACUGGCAUAAGCUCAGUGACUUUGUGAAGAUGUCGGCUGGUUGCUUCAUGGUUGAAAUGUGAGAUGUCCUAAUCAUUCCACUUUGAACCUUUUCUCGUAGAAGGUGGCAAUCAAUUUCUAUGUGUUUGGUUCUUUCAUGAAAGACUAGAUUCGAAGCGAUGUGAAGUGCCGCUUGAUUAUCACAAUAUAACUUGACUAGAUGUUUAUGUUUGAUACCCAAGUCUUGUAAAACAUAUUUCAGUCAAGUGACUUCACAACAAGUUGCAGCCAUUGAACGAUACUUCGCAUUUGCACUAGAACGUGACACGGUGUUUUGUUUCUUGCUCAUCAGGGGAUCAAGGAUUCUCCAAGAAAUACACAGUAUCUGGUGGUAGAAUGACGUGUGUCAUGACAUUUAGCCCAAUCCACAUCAUAAAAGGCAUUCAGUUGAAAUUGACUUCUUGCAGAGAGAAAAAUACAUUGCACUGGUGUAUGCUUAACGUAUCGUAAGACUCAGUGGGCUGCCUCCAAGUGUGGAGUUCGAGGCUUCUCCAUAAAUUAACUAAGAAUGUGGACAACAUAGACCAAAUCAGGGCGUGUAAUCGUCAGGUAGAUUAGUCUCCCAACAAGCCGUCGAUAAAAAGAAUGAUCAUUAAUGCAUUUUCCCUCGUCCUUCCUGAGUGAUUAGUUUUGCUCCAUAGGAGAGGUGGCUGGUUUCACACCAAGGUAACCUACAUCCUCAAGUAUUUUCUAACGACAUGUCCCCAAAUAUUACGAAUUUUAUAGUUUUAAAAUGUUAAAUUAUGUAAAUGCCCUUCGAGGUAAAUGCGAUUGACUUUUGUUGACCACCUUGUCAUGUCACAUAAGAUCUGUUUUCUUGGCGUAUCCUCGUAGUACUCGUCGCUACAAACAUGUGGACGCAAGCGGAAUCGGUUUUGGAGUUAUGAUGAAUGUUUUAUGGAAAUACGAAGUCGAGGGGGAAAAUAGUCAUUUCAUUAUUCUAGAUAUUAGGAUGGGAUAUUUUAAUUAUUUUAAUAUUUUCUGGCCCGUGGGACCCACACCUACACUACACUUUCCAUUCUUCUCCUGCCAUGUGGCCCCUCCUCUAAAUCUCUCGAACUCUCUUUCUUUCUUGUUUUCCCUCUCUUUUCCCUUGUCUCUCCCCGGGAAACAACACUCUCCUUCACCCCUCUUCUUUGCAACUCUCCUCCUCUCCAUUCUCGAGCAUUAUCCACCCACACAAGCACGUACACAUACAAACGUACGACAACAGCAACUACCACACCACCCUCACGUUUUCCCCCUCAACUCAUUCUCGUCUUUUCUGAGCUCCAUCCUCUUUGUGAGCCACCACCACUCACCGCUCCUAGCUCUGGCCAAACACAACGAACCGCCACACCACCACCCCCAAUCCAACCUUUACAAGACCCAUGAACCUGCAAUCGAGGAAGGAACCCUCCCCCAAGCUUUCCCCUUGUUAUGUACUGUGCACAAUCACUGUGCAUCAUCUUCUCCGGUGAACCACGGUGAGUUCUCACCCUCCUCGAUUCAUGUAAGUGCCUAGAAUCCUUUAGGUAGUGUUUUAAGGUUAGAUUAAGGUAGUUUUUAAGUUAUGUUUCCUUGUUGGAUGCAGAAAUGGCACGGGGGAAAUUCCCCAGUUUUCCGACAAAUAUCUGGUAGCUUCGAGCUAUUUUUCGACCAACUUGGGCGACAUAUUGGCCUCUAAUAGGUAUGAUACAAUUCCUUGUCUCUCGGGCUUCAAUUUGAUAUAUUGGGUUGUAAGGUUUGAUUGAGUUUUGAGCUCGAUCGGAGCUCGAGAAUCCUCCGGCCAAAAUCACGGUUUCCUUCUUCGUUAGGUUUGGCGACCCACAAACCUGACCGGGUUGACCUGACCCGUGAACCAAGAGCCCAGCCAAAAAUCCAAUCCACUUAGCCCAUGCCCAAGCCCAAAUCAAUGUUGGCCCAACCAACCUUGACCUGGAUCCAGCCCAACUUAUUAUCCAACCCAAAUCUCUUAACCUAUUAUUCAUGACACAAAACCCCUUAGCCUAUUAACCUAACCCAAAACCCUAACCGGAUCCAACCUAAGCCCAAACCCAACAACUCGGCCCAACCCAUUAGACCUAAGUCCAGAUCUAACCCAUUGACCUGACCCUUUGACCGUUAACUUCUGUUGAUCGUUGAUCGAUCAACAUUGACUUUUGGGUUUUGGCCAGGACCCCUCCUAGACUAAUUUUGACAUCCUCAUUCCAAAUUCGCCAUCCAUUUUCUCAAAUUCUAUCGUUUAGGUAUAGUUUUACUUAAUGGUCCUUAAUUGUGGUUAGGUGCAUCGAUGGGAUGUGGCACCAUCUUCGCUAGUUCAAGUGGCUUACGGGAGAUGGAAAACUUGUGAGUGGACUCCUUCUUAACUUAUAUAUUUUUAUAAAAUAUUAGCCUAGCAUGCAUUCAUAUUUCAUGAUUUAAAUAUAUUUUAUAAUAUCCUUUACGGAUUUCUAUAAUUAUGGUUUACGAAAUAUUUAUGAUUUAUCGAAGUUGCGGUUUUACAAAUAGUUAUGAAUUAUUAGAUUUGCAUAUAUGUAUUUCUAUGGCUCUCGAGUAUGAUUUGGUUAUGGAUUUACGAGUAUGGUUUGCCAUGGAUUAUGAGAUGAGAUUUUGAGCUUGAAAGCUCCGGAUUUGAUGUGAGACUUUUGAGGUAUGUUUUCGGUACUUAUCUAGUGGGUGAUCAUACAACACAUCCACACAAUUGGGUAUAGAUGUCUAUGACCAUAAGACAUAGUGGAAGAGUAGUGAGAGAUUAUGAUUAUACCCCGAACUUCACUAGCCCAGGGCUAGUGUCGGUGUGUGAUGUUAUAUGUACAUGCCUCUUCUCUGGCAUAACCCAGAUGGACCCUAUGUUUCUUUAUAUAUAUAUAUAUAUAUAUAUAUGUUAUAACCUCUUCUCUGGCAUAACCUAGAGUUGUACAGCUUCACCUUAGGGUGAUGGACCGUGGUUUCUUCAUUGGUGUAACCCAGUGUCGUAUAGCUUCACCUUUGGUGAUGGUUAUGCCUUCGGGCCACUAUGAUACCCCUAGUUGAGUAUAUCAUCGAUGAGAUUUACGGAUUUGCCUUCGGGCGGUGUUUUCAGCUUUUUUAGCAUGGUUCUACACGUACCAAUUUUUAUAAAUGUUUUUCACUGCAUGUUAGGGUUUUUCAUAAAACCUAUAUGUAGUAUUAUAUACGCGUCUUCAAAAAAGGGGGUUAGUAUGUUCAUAAAUAAAAUGGUUUUCGUAUUAUUAGUAUUAUUAUAAACUUUGGUCCACUCACCUUUUUGGUUUUUGCGCCCCCUUAAGAGUUAGGAUUGAGGCACAUGAUCCCGGCGUAAGGACACUUCUGCAUAGGUGUUCUCGAGUCUUCUCAGUAUAGGUAUCAUUCCUUUGCUCGUACAUUUUCCUAGUAAUUCUUCCAUAUUAUUCUUAGUAGUUGUAUGCUCUGAACACGUUCCUUCUUUGGCAUAAUCGUUCUAAUUGCAUAUCUUUUGUUUUUAUGCAUGUUUAAAAUGGCUUCGUCACCUUCGGGUGUCGGCCAGCACACGCCUACCCUGAUUUAUGGGGAUAUCGGGGCUGGGGCGUGUCAUAUUUCAAAGGCAUAUUUUCGUUGUGAGAGAGUGAUCCAUUUGCUAGAGCGAGCAAUUUCGAUGCCCAAAAAAUAUUUUAAUUGCCCAAGGUUUUUCAACUUGAAUUGCUUCAUAAGAAAAUACUGGGUAUCCUCAAUUACUUGUAUGUCAUUCCCUGCCAAGAUAAUAUCAUCAACAUAAACAAGGAGGGCAGUGAAUUUACCAUCAUGGUUUCAGACGAACAAUGAAUAAUUUGCCUUGGAUUGUUGAUAACCGGCCUUUCUAAAAGCAUAAGAGAGUUUGAUAAACCAUUGACGGGAGGCUUGCUUAAGCCCGUACAAAGAUUUAUGAAGUUUACAAACUCAUGUCUCCCAAUUUCGCUCGAAACCAGAAGGCAAGAACAUGUAGACAUCUUCUUUAAGAUCACCAUGGAGAAAGGCGUUGUUGACAUCAAGUUGGUGGAGGUGCCAUUGUUGGACUGGGGCAACGACAAGGAGAUAGCAAACUGUAGUUAGUUUUGCAACCAAAGCAAAAGUCUCGCAAUAGUUUAAGCCUUCAAUUUGGCUAUAACCUUUGGCGACCAAUCGUGCUUUAUAUCGCUCAAUAGUUCCAUCAGAUCGAAAUUUGAUUUUGUAGACCCACUUACAUCUAACCCACUUACAUCUAACCAGCUAAACGCCAUUGGGAGUCGAGUAUGGCCUGUGAGAAUGAACUGGGUUCUAUGGCAGCUGAAAUGGAAGUGGUGAAAGCACAGUGUUGAGCAGCUAAACGAUCAUAUGCUAGUACAUCAGACAAAGGGUAAGAAGUACCUGUCGCUUUGGCCAACGCCGAGCGAGAUAAAGGGAUCGACUGAGAAGGAAGGUUGAUGUCAAUGUGAUAUUGUCGAAGAUAACCAGGUGCAUGACUGGGUCAUUUAAGACGUGGCGGUGAUGUUGAAAUAAUGGGAGAAUGAACCGAAGCAGGACUCACCGGCGAAGAAGGCAACGGGUCGGCUAAAUCCUGCUCCGGUGGAAUGGACUGAUGAAUGAUGGUGUCAUCAAAGUUAGUAUCUUGCGCAUGUGGAAGCACAAAAGGUGAAACUACAGUGGAAGAUGACAAAGGAAACAAAUUUUCAUGGAAAAUAACAUCACGGGAAAUAAAUAUUUUACUCGUUUAAGGGUCGUAAACCCGAUAACCUUUAGUGCCAUAUGGAUAGCCAAAAAAUAGACAAUGUGUGGCUCUUGCAUCAAUUUUAGCAGGACGAUGAUGGUGUGAAGAAGCGAAACAUAAACACCCAAACACUCGAAAAAUGUGCAUAGGCUGACUGCUUGUGAUAUAGUAUUUCAUAGGGUAAUUUGUCAUGAAGAAGAGAAGUGGGAGUCCUAUUUAUAAGAUAGGUAGCAGUGAGGAUUGCAUCACCCUAAAAUUUCUUGGGAAGAUGAGAUUGAAAAAGUAAAGCUCUAGCAACAUCGAGCAAGUGGCGGUGUUUGUGCUCUACUACUCCAGUUUGUUGUAGAGUAGAGACAUAACGUGUUUGAUGUAGAAUUCCCUUAUGUUUGUGCUCUACUACUCCAGUUUGUUGUAGAGUAGAGACAUAACGUGUUUGAUGUAGAAUUCCCUUAUCCGAGAAAAUUUGAUCAAAAAUUAUGGAUCUUUAUCACUGCGAAGAACUUUAACUCAUGUGGAAAAUUGUGUUUCAACAAGGUUGAUGAAUGUGAUGAAAUAUGAUUGUGCAUUCGUUUUGUGAUUCAUUAAAUAAACCCAUGUGCAACGUGAGAAAUCAUCCACAAUAGUUAGGAAAUAUUGUGCCCGAGUGAUAGUGGGAACAUGGUAACCUCCCCAAAUGUCAACAUGAAUUAACUCAAAAGGUGCAUUUGUACUAAUAGAACUUAAAAGGAAAAGGAGCAAUUGUUUGUUUGGCUAAUGGACAAAUCAAACAAUCAUCAAUACUGCAAAAUUCAAGUUCUUAAUGCAAGGAGAGAUAGACCGUAAGCUUUUGUUGGAAAGAUGGCCAAGACGUUAAUGCCAAAGUUGAGGAGAAGAAGGAACAAUUGAUACUGAAUUGCACCCGAUUUUUGUCACAUUAUCAAGGUUGUUGAGUCCUUCUCAUUUAGUUCCUGUCCCAAUCAUUGGCCCUGAAGUACACAUUUUAUCAGUGAAGAUGACAAAGCAAAAUGAGGUAUUAGUAGCCUUGCUGGCAGAAAUUAAAUUCAGUUUAAAUGAUGGAACACAAAGCACGUUGUGGAGGACGAGAUCAUUUGAGUGACGAACUGCGCCAAUAUGUGUGACAUCGGCAAGUGCAUGAUUGGGUAGGUGCACUUGUCGGUUAGAAACCGGAAUGCUUAUAGUCAUUAAACUCGGUGAGCAGACCAUGUGUUCUGUGGCGCUGGUAUCAAAGAUCCAGUUCCUUCCCUCAUUGAAAGCAGAAGCACAAAAAACUUUACCUGAGAAAUCAUUCAUAGUAGAGGUGGUACCGACAUGAUUGGUUGUGAGGUUGGAUUGGCUCUUAUCAAAGAGUGUAAGCAGGUUGUGAUAUUGCUCAGAAAUGAGACUGUAUGACGAAGGAGAUGUUGCUGAAGGCAUUGGCUUGAUGUCAACAUGAUUAGCCUUAGAGUUGGAACCUUUGAGAUCUUGAUAAUCUCCCCCUUCGUUGUUGUCCUUUACCUUUUUCAGUUUACAACAUUAAUCAAUGGUGUGACCCCUCCAAUUACAGUAGUCGCACUUGAAGUGUGCUCGACAGGUAUCUGAAGUGUGUCCGGUUGCAUCAUAACAAUCACAUUUGAGAUGAGGAAUUUUAGGAGAAAAAUUCCUACCAUAGUUUCGCAUGUUGUCCCACAUGGCCAAAGCUGCUGCAUCUGUGAUUGAGGACCUUCCAGGAAAAUGUGUUGAGACUGCUCUUUGCUUCUCAUCUUGAAUAAUGAGUGAGAAAGCCUUGUUGACAGCAGGAAGGGGAUCCAUAAGUAAAAUUUGCCCACGAACUGCAGCAUAGGGUUCAUUGAGACCCAUGAGAAACUUCAUGGUUUUCUAACUUUGCUGAAACUGAAUCAAUUCCUUCGUAUCACCACAUGCACAGGUUGGGAGAGAGCACAAGACAUCAUGUUCAUCCCAAAAACUUUUUAGUUUGGUAUAAUACGCACCAAUGUUCAUAUUUCCUUGAACACUUCCAUGUAUCUCUUGUUCGAUAUGGAAAAGAUGUACGUUGUUUGUGUGAGAAAAACGUUCCUUCAAUUCAUUCCAAAUAUCAGAUGCAACAUUGUUGUAGAUGAUACUUGCUCCGAUAUCUUUCAAGACAGAGUUAAACAGCCAGGAUUUCACGAGGUUGUUGCAACGAGUCCAUUGUUGGAAUUCAAUUGUGGAUGCUGUCGCAGGCUCUUUAAUGGUUCCAUUAGGUACCGUUUGGUACGUGGGACGGGACGGAACGGAGUGGGACGAGGCGUUCCGUCCCACGUUUGGUGCGCCCAAAAACAGUGAAACGCGCUGUCCCACGGGGACGAAAUUUGGCUGAUUUUUCGUUCUGCCUCCCCCUGGAAUGACUCAUUCCAUACCCGUGGAACACAAAAUUAUAAAAUUUUAAGACAAAAAUACCCCUUAUUUUUUUCAAUAUUUACACCAUCCAAAUCCCAAAACAAAACCCUAUCAUCUUCUUUCCCUCUUCUCUGCCGCUUGCAUCUCCCAGGUAUCUUGCAACCUUCCUCCUCAUCCUCUCCCGUAGCCUCUCUUUUCUUUUGCCCACAGAGUGGAACUCAAAGCUCUGCAUCUCCAGGUUCGAUCUCUGCAUCCAAUUCCAAUCUUUUUAUUUUUUGCACAAUAUUAUAUGAUCCUCUGCAAUCGAUAAUCUGGUUCUAAUCUGCCAUCUUCUCCUUGAAACCUAGGUUUUGCUCUCAAAGUUUUGAUCUUUACAUUUUUCUACUGUAACUUUUUCUGGGUUUUGGUUUUUAAGGGGCUUGAAGGUUGAUUUGUUUGCUUUUGAGGUAGUUCCUAUUGAUUUCAUUGGAUGAUACGAUAUAAUGAAUGAUCUAAUUUGGUUUGGAUUCAUAAUCUAGGGUUUUGAAUUGGGAUUAAUUGUUCAAGUAAUUUUUAAUUCCGCUGAUUGUCUGUUUUCUGAGUAUUUCUGUGUAAUUAGCUUCUAUUAUGUUGCUAGGAAACUGCUCAAAUUAAUAAAUCAUUUUAAUUUGAUUUUUGUGUUGUGAUUUGAUCAAGUUCCAGUUUAGUAAUGGGCUUUUGCUUUGUUAGACUAAUGAAAUAGGCUUCAUGUUUUUUGAAAUUUUGAUUCAUUAGACUAAUUGGGUUUGCUUUGUGUGUUUAUAUAAUGUUUGAUUAACUCUGGGAUUUUGUUUCCAUUUAGUUUUUCCUGUGGAAGAGUGAGGGCAUUUACUAUUGAUUUGGAAUUGAAGAAGUAAACUUUAAACAUUUUCAUGGUGUUGAAUUUCAAACCUCUAGCAUAUGCCCGAAGAAUUUCAUUAUCUUCGACCAGACUGAUCAUCGAAGUAAGAUUAUGUUCAAUCCUGAAAUUGCCCACAAAAUUACUGGUCUUGCCUUUAACCUCUUCUGCAGCUUACAUCCAAGACAAUCUGGGAUUGAUAGCUUGUUGAAAGUUUUCUGGUUUUUAAUUAAUUGGGGUUUUCUAGUGCUUAUUGUAAGGCAUAUGAUGCAUGGGUAAGUUAGUUAUUUAAUCUUUUAGUUCCGUUCCGUCCAGCGUGUACGAAACACAGAACGGAACAACCGUCCCGUUCUGUCCUGUGCGUACCAAACAUAACACGGAACCUUUGUUCCGUCCCGUCCCGUUCCAUCUGCGUACCAAACGGUACCUUAAUGAGCCCAUCCUUGUUCUUGCAAUUGAGGGUCAUGGUCAUGGUGCGGCUCCAAGUGGAGUAAGUUUCGUCAUUUAGUGGUUGUGUGACGAGAAUCGCUCUAGGCUGAUCGGAGUGAUGAAGAUAAAGAGGAUCGCUGGGAUCUUCGUAUUUGGUGGUCUCAGACUCGGUUGAACCUUUUUGUUUGUUGGAAUCUUCGGUCGCCAUGUCGACGAGAAGAGUAAUGCUAUGACUUCUUUGUAUGUUUGAACGCCAAAGAUUUUAGGUUAUCAGGUUUCCAAAAAGACUGAGUUCUGGUACCAUGUAAAACCUUCUAUUCUGUGUGAAUGGUUUUCAUUAAGAAAAGAGUAAUUGGUACAAAGAGAGACUUAUACAUAUACAUGGAUCAAUCAAGAUCCUGGAAUCAAGGCCUAUACAAGCUAUUACGUGAGUUAGACUCGUAUGUGGAUGAAAAGCAAUCUGAGAUGACUGUACAGUAAUCAAGGAGAUGGAUUCCUUAAUUCAAGGGACUGAUGACAAACUUUGCUCUGCACAACACAAUUGAAUCACGGAGAGACUCUGAAGCUUGGAGAGGGACUCAUCACGUUUGGUAAAUUCGUUACUAAGGUCAAGGCCGACAACACGCCCCCUUAGUACUGCAAGUAACACCAUCCCAAGAACAGCAGUCGCUACUUGAAUUCCAGGAUAUGAACUUGAUGGACGUAGAAGAAUUGAACAAAAUUCUCUUCUUGAAAUGGAGGAGUGCUGAUUGCUCAUCUUCAAUACACCGGCUGUGAAGCGGGACAACGAUCAAGAAAAAGAGGAUCAAGUAGUGGAAUGAAGUUUUCGUUUUUGGUAGUUAUAAAUGAAAAUGUACUAAAUUAGGAAAAACUCAUUUUUGCAUUGAGACGGCUCUGCCAUUUAGGUUGGGGCAAGUCGAAAACUUGUCUCACGAGAUGACGAAGUCACUUUGAAGAAUCGAAAACUUGUCUCACGAGAUGAUGAAGUCACUUUGAAGAAAAAAACAAAAAAGGGGGUGAUCACACAAUUUAAUUAGAUCCCUAAUGCUUUCUGAGAGAUUGUUGACUUUUGUUGUUAUAACAAGUUCAAAAACACUGUAAUUUUGACAACUAAAAACGAAAUGGUAAUCAGAUAAGUACAUGACAAUGCAUUUUGUUACUACUAACCCCUACGAGAACACAAAUUUGUGAGAAUCAUGGAACGCCAUACCAAGGAUCUCAAUGCAAUAACGUUUAAGCCACCAAAAAGCAUUUGUUUAUAUACAGCUAAAUUUCGAUGAGAUGCGAUGGAUUGUCACCUACGGACCAAUGCUGACAUUGCUUGGUGCGUGAAUAAGACGACCAUUUUGGAGCAGGGUGCUUGGAAAGGUGGCUCGACAGUUAGUAAUGUGAGAUUUUAAUCGGGGUAUGUUGGGGUGAGCGCUUCUACAUCGGUGGCAUCGCAACUCCAUAGACAAUAGGCUAUCGUCAUCUUUUAGCUUUGCUUUUCCAUCACUACUAACUUCCUCUACCACAUCCACGGAGUCUCGAAAGAAAGCAGUAUUGAAGGAGUUCCAAUGUUUCUUAUUCUUCAAGUGUGUUGAAUCAAAAUCCUGGCUGAUAACAUGCAGAUGCAGCUGUCGCAUUGAGGGAUCCUGCAAGAGAUGAUGUCCGGAAACAAUUAAUUUAUUAUUUACAUCUAGUCUGAUGUAUUAAUACUAACCUCACGAGUCCUUUAGCAAAAAGGAUUUCAAAGGGCAAUGUUGGAGCAUACGAAUAUAACAGCAAGCUCUCAGAAAAUUAGCAUGCGUACCAAGUGAUAUCCAAGACGGAAGACCAAAGACGAAUCAUCAUGCAAGAAUUUCUCAACCCACUUCAGACCAACUUCAUGCAUUGUCCUUAACAAUGGAAGGUGUUCUUUAUGAACAUCUGACAGUCGAUCAAGACCUUCACAUUGUGCCACCACCAAAACAUGCCUUUUUGCCUGCGAAAUUCCGAAGGUUUUUUUUUUUUUUUCAUCAGACAGAAAGUAGAAGAGGAUGAUAAACAAUAUAUGGAAAAUAGGUAUCAUUUACCUUUGGAUAAAGAUCAUUCAGCACAACGACAUCAUCUGAUAUCUCUAGUACUGCAUCCUUGUGCUUCUCUGGGUGCAUAGCAGUGUUGUAGAGAGCCUGAGCCCAUGACCCCCAGGAUUUAGUCCUGCUUCCACUGGACUUGUUGCUCAGGUCUGGUUUACCAGUGUUAGAAUCUUCAGUAUCAUCCUGAUAUGCUUUACUUCUUUUGCUCCUCUCAUAUUUAUGAGGAUCCUCUCUCUUAGUCUUUUGAUUGCUGUUUGUAAAAUGAUUUCUAGAGGCACUGUCAGAAUAUUCUUGUGACUCUGGCAGCUUUGCCUGCAAGUUCUCAAUGCUUCCCUUGGGUGACUUUGCUUGGGUCCUCACAAUUGUUGCGAAACCUUCGAAAAGUGAAGUGUAAGCCUCCCGGAGAACUUUGCAGCCUUUACUAUAGUCAUUGUUCAGACAAUUUGGUCUGUGUGGGUUCAUGUUGGGUCCAACAACAUGUAUCACAUGGGUUACCCCUUCCCUACUAAACAAGGGAGAAGUUGCAGGGACAGGCACAACCACGGCACUCCCAGGAUACAGAGAUUGGGCUUGUUCUUUGGUUGCAACCUCCAAAGAUGGACCUCCAGCAUUGAAGAUUGCAGCAUUGACACCUCCACCUCCAGGUUUAAGACGCCUGCACCAGAAUAAAUAUUUAUUUUCAAUCUACUUUAUAUUUUUACGUACCAACUUAAAGUAAAGAUUAUAACGGUGAAGAAAAAAUAUCAAACUUUACAUUUCCACUGCAGGGUAACAGAUGCAAAACUCGAAUUCAGCAUAAUACUACAACACCAUGUUUUGGUUUAACAGAGGGGACAAAUGCAAAAUCCUACAGAUCUGUUAUUUCAUAUUGUGAACUAGCACCGCAACAAAAUAUUUACAUGUAUAUUGCAUAGUAUUUCUAAAUGCUUACCAAUUAGCAGCAUUAGCUAUUACAUUGCAGUGUAAACCUCCUCCUGAAUGAAGCUUAGUGAUAUCUCCCACAAAUGUGAAGAACUUGUUGGAGUCAAUGUUUUUCUCUGAAGCUUUAGCCCUUACCAAAGACAAAAUCUUUGAUUUAUGACUCAAGUCCACUAAAACAAGUCUAGCAUUUCCAAGCUUAUUCACAAAUUCUAUAACUUUUUCGACAAUAAUAUCAGACGCCUUCUCAAUGUCAAAUUGAAAAUCUGCUGUCGAUAUGGAGGGAAAUGCGAGAGUGGGGGAAUCGUUUAGAGAAACAUCACCGCCAACAGAGCCUACAAAUAGCUCUGCACCUUCCUUUGACUCCUUACGAGAAUUUUCAGACAAUGAACCUGUUCCCUUUGAAGAGGUUUCCUUUUCUUCAGUAAUUUGAGAAGCAUUCGAAUCUGGUACACUCUUCGAAGUGGAUUCAGUAUUAGCAGGACCAUCUGUUUUCUUUAAAAACCUCAUUAUACCUAGUUGUACUUUCGCACCGGUGUUCUUCUGGCCAAAAUAACCACUUGGAAGUGUAUCCAACGGACCAAGUCCACUAUAUGCAUCAACGGCAGAUUGAACAUCACUCUCACUCUGGCAACAAGUGAUUCUAGCAAACCCUUCACUCAGUUUAGGCAGUUCUUUCUUCUGCAGCAUUCUAUUCACAACCGCAGCAGCUCUCCCACCUUGCAAGUUUCCCUCGUGGCCUGUUCUCUUCACAGACCGCGAUAUACAAAGCUUGGCAGGAAGAUCAAGCACCACAGCAUGAACAUCAACCUGGGUACUACCACCAAGCUUCACAAACUCAUCCCUUUGUUCUUUCUCCAGAUUACACCUAUCUAUAAAAACACUCUUCCCAUCCUUCAAUGCAUUCAUUGCACUCUCAAUACACUGCGCUUUCGUUCCCGCUUUACCAUUUUUUAUAGUAUCCUACAAAAACAUAAAAAAUGAGAACCCAACAGCAUAAAAACAAUAACCCAACUGAACAGCAAUCCGGAGUAUCCAGAGUAUCAUAUGAAUUACUGAAAAUACUAAUCUUGAGCUCACUGAGCCAUUUCAUCGAACAUAUGGUGUGCACAUAGAUAUACCUGGCAAACGCGAACCCAGGGGCGAGCGGAGGAGGAGCGCAUGACAUGCUCACAGAAGGUGGACUUUCCGCUUCCGGGCGCACCCACCAAUAUUACUACGACGGGCUUUCCUUGCUUUUCUUCCCCUGUCAAAAGUGCAUACAGGUUUUGUAAUCGAAGGUGACGACGACCCAGAAUUAUUAAACGCGGCGUUUUGGAGAAAAUGGGGUACCUUUGGCUGUUUCGUCGAUAUCCAUGUCCAUGUUUUGGGAGACUCUGUGUGGCACGUUUGAAUUAAGGGCUGAAAACCAACGGUUUCUUCUUCCACUGGGCUGGAAGCUUCUGUCGCCGGUGCCUCGUCGACCUGAAAAUUGACCCGCCCCGAUUCGAUUUGGAUUUAUUUCUUUGGAUUACGACUCUCAUGAGCACCAUCCAUAUUUGGAUUGAGGGCCUUUCCAGGAUAUUAUUAGCCCGGGUUCAAGGCCAUCCAAAAUUAAGAUGGGCGUGGACCCGUUUGACUCAGUUUGGCAUUGAAAAUAUAACGGAAUCAAUUAAUAUUUAACGGUUUGGUUUGGUUCGAUUUUGAACAAUAUGAACAUUAAAUUGAACUAAACUAAUUCAUAGUUAAUUGGUUUGAUUCGGUUUGGUUUGGUCGGUUUAAGCUUAUUCAAUAUAAAAAUAAAAAACUUUUAACAUUUCAAGAGUUUUAAUCUUCUAAACAUCUAAACAUUUCACACAUUUUAAUUCAAUUAAAAGACUACAUUUUUUGGAACACAAAAAGUUCUUCACGUCGAAUAGAAAUAAGUUUCAAUUAAAUAAAAUCUCAUUUAGCAAACACUUUAUUAAUUAUAACCUACAUAAGUAUAUAAUACAUGUAAAUCUCCUAAAUGUUGAUAGUCAUUGUAACUCAUAAUAUGUGUAUUGUAAGAUCUCUUAAUAACCUAUAAUAAGUUGACAUGUAUAAUUAAUAAUUACAAAAAUACAUGGUCGAUUUGGUUUGAUUUUAGUCGAUUUCAAUAAUAUCAAAACUAAACCAAAAGUAAAUCAUUUCGAUUCAGCUUUUAAAUCGUUUGACUUUUUCUUGUUCAAAACAAAACCAAACCAACCAAUAUGAUUUGGGUUGGUCAAUUUGUUCGUUCGGCUGGUUGAUGCCCACCCCUAUCCAAAAUAAAUUUUUAAAAGAAGAAAAUAAUUUACACGAAAAUAUACAACGUUAUGAACACAUAUUAAAUACAAAUAAUCUAGAAAGCCAUGUAGAUGGUGUCUUAGAAAAAUCGGAUAAUGUAACGAGUCGACCAACUAUGUGAGGUUGGAUGAGGUGUAUUAGACAACUCAGAUAAAGCAAUAGAAUUUGUUGAUGCAUAAAACCGGAGGUCUUGGAACAACGUAAAUCCGACCGUGAAUCUGUAAGAAAUGUAAAUAACACAAGAUGUAUCGUGGUUCACCCCAAGGUUUGGGCUACGCCCACACUGAUUAUUGUAUUUCUCUGAGAAGAUUGUGAGGGAGAGAGCCCCUGUAGUGUGAGAAUGAGGCUCUCUGAAUGUGAGGGAGUUUGUGAGGUGAGAGUGAGGUAUCUGGGGGUGAGGAGGCUUCUUCCUCAAUUGUGAGGGUGAGGGGUCCUUUUAUAGAAUAAGGGAUCCUCACUUAUUACAUAUUUGCUCCUUCCUUUAUUACAUAAUUACAUUUGAGUUUCCCGAGUAUUUAUACGAGAUCUAAAUACGGAGGCCCUAAGUAUGGUAUAAACAGUAGUCCCUCAAGUAUUCAGUCAAGAGAGUCUUUUGGCUGGAGACUUGAAAUUCAGUCCAUGUGUGGGCCGAAGUAACCAGAUGUCGUCUUGAACUGAUGCUCGGUAUGCGGCGGUGCCCAAUCUGAAAUGAUGCUCAAUUUAGGAAUAGCACAUGUUGCGAGGCUGCUCGGUUUGUGGUUUAUGUUGCCUUGGUUGGCUCGGCUUGUGGCGUUGAAGGUGAGGGGUCCCUUUUAUAGAAUAAGGGCUCGCUCCUCAAUACAUAAAUGAUGGGCUAGAGUUGAUGCUCGCGGCGAGGCGGUUACUCAAUAGGUGGCGAUGCUCUCUAAUGGUGGUGAGAGAGUCCCUUUUAUAGAAUAAGGGCUCGCUCCUCAAUACAAAAGUGAUGGGUUAGGAGUGAUGUUCGCGGCGAGGCGGUUGCUCAGCUGGCGGCGUUGCUCUCUAAUGAAGGUGAAGGAGUCCUUUUUAUAAAAUAAGGGCUCGCUCCUCAGUACAUGAAUAAUGGGUGCUCUCUAAUGAAAGUGUGGGAGUCCCUUUUAUAGAAUAAGGGCUUGCUCCUCAGUACAUAAAUAAUGGGCUAAGUCCCCCAAAUAUUUUUUAUGAGGCCCAGUUGAGGCCCGAUAUAUGGUACAUAAUGUAGUCCCCCAAGUCUUCGGUCAAUAGAGUUUGUUGGCUGGAGACUUCAAAUUGAAUCCAUGUAUGGGACGAAGUGGCGGUUGUUCGGAGGCGGUAUUUAUAUACCCUGCACUUAAGCUUUGUAGGUGAAGUUUUGCAAGUGAAGCUAUGAAGUUGAAGCUCUGUAAAUGAAGCUUUUGAAGCUAGAGCUUUUGUAAAUGAAGCUUUUGAAGCUAGAACUCUGUAAAUGAAGCUUUUGAAGCUAGAGCUUUUGUAAAUGAAGCUUUUGAAGUUGAUUGACAUGAGUGAUGCUCAUGAAUGUUUAUGUUGAUUGAUAUGAGUGAUGCUCAUGGAUGUUGACAUGAGUGAUGCUCAUGGAUGUUGACAUAAGUGAUGCUCAUGAAUGUUGACAUGAGUGAUGCUCAUGAAUGUUUAUGUAUGAUUGAUAUGAGUAAUGCUCAUGAGUGUUUAUGUAUGAUUGACAUGAGUAUGCUCAUGUAUAAUUUGAAGUACUGGGCGUACUUUUGAUAACCUGGUUGGCGAUAAUAGCGAUGGGGUGCCGAAUAAUUUUUUGUAGUACUGGGCGUACUUUUGGUCACCUGGUUGGUGAUAAUAGCGGCAGGGUGCCGAAUAAUUUUUUGUAGUAUUGAACGUACUUUUGGUCACCUAGUUGGUGCUAUUUUGGGCUUAUGGGCCUUCGCCUUCCACACAACAUUCUAGCCCAUUUAUUUUGGGCUUUGCCCUUUUUUAUUUAUUUAUUAUUAUUACCCUCUGAUGGGGUUUAUACAGAUGUCUCUAAAAGAUAAGAAAAAUAAAUCGCAUCAUACAAAAACAAGAAAAGUAAAUCACAUCAUUCUGGUGGAGUGUUUAUUCCUUGCUUUUGCUUUCUUUUUUGCUUUCUCUUUUGCUUUCGCUUUCUUGGAGGACCGCUCUUUUUAGGAAUAAUGGUGCUCGAUGUCUUGUCAAUCCAACGUCCCAAGGCACUGACACAAGGAGAUGAUGGGACCUUGUAGUGGGAUGGCAACAGCUUGGCAUCAUUAGAUGUCUGAAUUCCUUUAUCAUUGUGGUCGCGGGACCACUUUCCAGCUGUGUGUUUAAAGAAACCUGCUGUACCUUUACUGCUUUUCUAGUCAAAUGUCAUCUUGUGCUGAGCAAGCAUAAGUUGCUGGUGUUGACCCGCAACUUCCCGGACCGGAAAAUCGUAAACUUGGAGACCUCCGAGUGCCAAAACCUAAUCUCGUUCUCUUCCAACAAGUUUUCCAAAACCUGCUUAUCCCUGUCAAGGUUGGAGCUCUCGCACUCGAGCUCAUAACACGUCCCAAAAUCGUAAAUACUCUCGUCCACCUCUAUCUUCAGCCCCUUUCACUUAUACACACCCCUCACAUUCCUAAACCCACCCAAGCACACAAACCCUUGCCCUCCUCCAACACUGUAUUCCUCCCUCCCGCGCUUUAAGAUGUCGGAGGAGUUAACGGCCAUGAGCCUCCAAGGCUCGGCCACGCAGACGCGGCCGAGGACAAGGUCGAAAGGCUCUUCCAGCUCUAGGACUCGGCUGACGCCGUCAGAGAUGACGGGUUUGGCCUUAAGGGAGAGGACGCAACGUCUGUCGACAUCGUAGAAACGGAGGCGGAUGAUGGCGAGGUUAGAGGAGAGCUCAGAGUUGGAGCUGUCGAAGAAGAUGUUAUCUUGGAUUAGGGUUUGGGUGUGGAAGGGGGAGAGGAGAUCGGUGAGCUUUUGGUGUGCGGCGGCUUCUGGGAGGCGGAGCUUCACUUCCACUUCCAUUGCUUUGGGGGUUUGCUGAAAGAAGGACCAAAACUCGAAACGCUUUUUCCUCGAAAAAAUUGAGAUUUGUGAUGCUCUUGUUGGAGAAACUGAAAGCUGUAGAGCUCAAAUCGUUUCAAAAAAUAUGUUUUUCUGUUUGUUGUAGUUUGUGACGUAAGCCAGGUGGUGCUUCUGGUGGUGGAUCUGCAUGAUCUCGCCGCUGAUUGCAGGCGCCAUAGUCGUAGGGAGGUCGGGGAGCGAGAAAAUCUGCAGGCCGCGAGAAUGAGCGAGGAUUCUGGGCUCGCUCUGAAGACCUAAUCGAAGGGCUUUGCUGGCUACGAGAGUUCGGAGAGCCAUGAAAAUGCCGCUUGCGAAGAACUCAGAGUGAGUAGAGGGAAACAGUGUGAGAAGGUGAGAGAAGACUUGUACUGUGCUGGUCUGCUGGGUUUACCUGGAGGAACGUACAAAGUCAGAGGCAUUGCAGAGAAGGCAACUGUUAACAACUGCAACACCAUCCUCUAUCUAUCAAUUCAAACCAAAACCCACAAAAAUAUAAUCUCAAAGAUUGGAUUUUGAUUGAAACCCAAUUGAGUUUUUGAAGAUUUUGAUGCAAAAAAAGGAGGGUUAUGGAGACGAUGUUUCUGGAAAUUAAAAGAAGAAGGUGGAGAGUGGAGAUUGGGGGAGAGAGAGAUUGAUGUUUUGCUUGAAGAAGUGAAAGAGGUCAGAAGCAAGAGAGAGGCUGAGAGAGUUUUGGGGUCCACGAAGGUUUUAUGGAAAAGCCCAAGGAGGGAGGUUAUGGUUCCUGGGUUUUGCAGAUUCAUGGCGGAGGUGAAAAUUGAGAGAGAACCGACAUAGCUUUUCGUGUUGAUUCCCACAGACGGCGCCAAAUGUUGAUGCACAAAACCGGAGGUCUUGGAACAAGGUAAAUCUGACCGUGAAUCUGCAAGAAAUGUAAAUAACACAAGAUGUAUCAUGGUUCACCCCAAGGUUUGGGCUACGUCCACACUGAUUAUUGUAUUUCUCUGAGAAGAUUGUGAGGGAGAGAGCCCCUGUAGUGUGAGAAUGAGGCUCUCUGAAUGUGACGGAGUUUGUGAGGUGAAAGUGAGGUCUCUGGGGGUGAGGAGGCUUCUUCCACAAUUUGUGAGGGUGAGGGGUCCUUUUAUAGAAUAAGGGCUCCUCACUUAUUACAUAUUUGCCCCUUCUUUUAUUACAUAUUUGCCCCUUCUUUUAUUACAUAAUUACAUUUGAGUCCCCUGAAUAUUUAUACGAGAUCUAAAUACGGAGGCCCUAAGUAUGGUAUAAACAGAAUUCUUUAAAUGUUAAUGAAUUCCCUCAUAAUCGCAAGACGAAUGUGAGAUUUAUGAAGCUUAAAAUAUAUUAUGAAUUGUGUCAAUUCCCUUAUAUUGGAAAAAUUUCUCAGUACAUUUUAAUUAUUCACAAAUAUCACAUUUCUCCUUGAGAUUUUGAAGGAUUUCACUAAAAAAUUUACACAAAAAUAUUUAAAAAUCAAACUCAACCGAAUUAUUAAAAGCAAUCUCACAAUUUAACAAUGUCAUGAAUAAAUCCAAUUAUAUCAAUUAGUAUCUCUCAUGUGACAAAUUUCCACUUGCAUUGUAUUAACUUAGAGGUUAUUGUAAAUUUGUAAUUAAAAGCAAUCUCACAAUUCCACAAUGUCAUGAAUAAAUCCAAUUAUAUCAAUGUAUCUCUCAUGUGACAAAUGUCCGAGAGUUCUCGCCAUUACUCUCAGACCCCUCACCUUCACUCCC
rnacentral:lncRNA from 1 species